rnacentral:lncRNA from 1 species
AAUACCCCGCAUGUAAAAAUUCAGCAUCAGUUAUUUUAUCAUUGGAAAAUUUAAGAGAAGGACAAAAUGGUAAUUGUUCACAAAACUUUUCAGGACCGAAUCAUAUUAUUCCAACAGACUAUUGAGAAUGGAAUUUGCCGCUUAAAACUUUUACGACAUUUAAUCGGAUAUUUUAGUUUGAAGAAUAGUAUGAAAAGGGCAAAUUGGUCAUUUGCAUAAAAAGGUACAAAUAGAACAAAACUAAAAUUUUCCACAUUUUUCUACACUCUCUCUCACAAAAAUCAGAACCUCCCUCUUCUCUCUUCCCCCUCCCUCAGGUGUUCCUUUCUUUCACUCCCACCAUUACCUAUUUCACUUUUGUAGCAAAAUCAAGCUAGAAAUGACAUUUCAUGUUGUAGAAAAGUGAUUUUUGUGUUGUGUUUUGAGCAUUAGAGGCAAGCUUGAGCAAGAAACAAGAAUAUUGAAGCUAGGGUUUGGCUUGGCAAGAAGAUUGAGGCAGGGGCUGAAUGUAAGUAUAAGUGAUUAAUAGCUUAAAUUGAGGUAAAAGUGAUUAUUUUGAGAAGAAAUUCAAGUUAUGUUGAUUGAUUAGAUGUAUAAGUUGUUACUGACUUUGGGAUUCUGCGAUAACUCUGUUUUUGGGCUGUUAGUAGUAUAAAUUUUGUUGGAGUAAAUAGGCAAUUACCCCAUUGAAAUUGUAAGUUUCAUCAAUUAUCCCCUGAAAUUAACAAAACUUCAAUUACCCUUGAAAUUUCACAACGUUAAUCAAUUUACCCCAUCCGUCAAAUUUUUCUGUGUUAGUGAACAUGACGUUUUGCAAAUAUCCCUGAAGUUUUGUGCAAAAUGCCCCCCAAACUUAAAAAUUUAUAUUAUUUUUUUCUUAAAGACAAACAAUUAACGAUUAAAUAUUAAAGCUAACUAUUAAUUUUGGAGUUUGGAAAAACUACAUGCAUAUAUACAUCAAAAUAAGGAAAAAUGUGUAUUUUAAAAGUGGCAAUAAUGGUUAUUUCUAAUAGACAAAUUAUUAUUUUUAGGGGUUUAUAGAAAAAUUAAUAAUCAAACCAUUUAACAGUUUGCUCAAACCAUUUAAACUACAGAACCCCCAAUAUUUUCAUAUGAUUUGUUCUUGUUUACACACUUUAUAGAUAACUUCGUUCUAACUUCUUGUUUGUGCUUCAGGCAGGGACAAUCAUUCAUCGUAUACAAUCUAGCUCACACCACAAUAUUAUCAGACCGACAUAUCAUAUAUAGCAUAUUAAGUAAUAUUCAUGUAAAAAAGACACAAAUCAUCAGCAAAUGAAAUAUGUGAUCGGUAUGUAUAGAGAAACACUUAUUGAGAAAUGUCAAACAGUUAGAAUAUAUUUCUUUACCUUUGAAAUUAAUCCACAAAUCAUCUCAUUAUUGUCACUUUAAAAAAUACAUAUUUUCCCCCAUUUUGAAGCCUAUUUUGAUGUAUAUAUGCAAGUAGUUUUCCCAAAUUCCAAAAUUAAUAGUUAGUUUUAAUAUUUAACUCUUAAUUGUUUGUUUUUAAGAAAAAAAUAAUAUAAAUUUUUAAGUUUGGGGGGCAUUUUGCACAUAAGUGCAAAACUUCAGGGAGGGUAUUUGCAAGACGUCAUGUUCACUAACAGAAAAAUUUGACGGAGGGGGUAAAUUGAUUAACGUUGUGAAAUUUCAGGGGGUUAUUGAAGUUUUGUUAAUUUCAGGGGAGUAAUUGACAAAACUUACAAUUUCAUGGGGGUAAUUGCCUAUUUACUCAAUUUUGUUGUUGUUGCUGUUUGGAAUGAAAAGCUAGAAGUUAAAAGCCAUAAGUUGUUCCAAAAGCUUCCGUUUUGAGUUAAAUAUGUUAGAAUUUCUUUAUGACUGGUGUAGGAGCUGUGUAUACAUAUUUUCUUUGAUUCUGGAAAAUUUGAGUUGAAAUUGAAUUGUCUAGAGGUCAUAAGCUGUCAGUAAGCUGUUUUGGGAAUUUUGCCUUAAAUGACUAAGUUGUGGAUUAACCUGCUGUAUAAGUGGUUCAUGGGGCUGAGUAUAUAUGUUGGAACAUCUUUGUUGAAGGCUGGGUCGAAAUUAAUUUGAUAGAAGCCAUAAGCUGCUAAUUAAGCUGUUUGGAAGUGCUUAAAUAGCCAAACGACGUACUUCUGGUGCAAGGACUGAAAUUGAAAUUUUCAUGUAUGCUGGUUGAUGAAGUAAGAGUACGUCACAAAUGAGUUGAGUUGUUUUGGAAAGAGCAAGACCUAUAAGCCAAGACAUAAGCUAUUUUGGAAAAUGGAUUAUGGAGUUUUGGAGUUAGCAAAAGCUGAAAAUUGUGAAUAAGCUGCUUGCAAUUUCGGGACUAAUGCCAAGAUGUACAAGUUAUUAUACAAUAAGAUGGCUCGUGAUGAAGAAGCAGAUGUAGCUGGACUAUGUAAAGUACACGUCAGUGGAACUAUUUCUGAGGUAAUAGGCGAGAAAUUCUAUGAUUUGUUCAGAGAAUAUUUAUUUAUUGUAACUUCAAUGUAUCCGACGCCAAGUUUAACACACAUCCUAGAUAUCCUAGGUGAUUUCUAGUAGGGGGUGUUUCAUCCUUGCUUCUCAUCUCUCGCGUUUCAUUCAGUUCAACUAAUGUCAGAUUUGCUUUUCAGUUUGCUUUCAUAUACUUUUGUGGUGAUAAAAUAUUCCUACACUUAUGACAUAUUCCGUUUUACUUAUGUUUGAUUUGCAUCUGCUUAGUGUGUCCUGUUCAUUUCAGAUUCUUUUAUUGUCUUACUUAUUAUUAUAAUACGUGCCAGAUUGCAAUAUGGAUAUUACUAGUGAGAUAAAUCACAAAAUCAAGAACAAUUUGUAUGUGUCUGUUAGUUGUCUAUAAUUAAUAUUCAUGUUCAAAGUUAUACUGCUUCAAAGAUAUCCGUUGGAAAAAUAUUAUUUUGUAAUAAUUGAUGUGUUUACUAGUACCAGGUUUAAUAAUAUCCAAUCCAAUUAGAUUAGACUAACCAAUGUGUCAUGUGUGUAUAUUUCCUUAAAUAUGCUUAUUAGUCACACAAGUCAGUGGUUACAACCGGCAAGUUAUAUAAUGUUAUGUUAAACUGACUUGAUUCUCGUCAACUAAGCUAUGAUUUACUAAUGGCCAAUUGCUUUGAUUACGUAAUUCCAUUUCAUUAAACAAUAUGACUUAUAACUAUAAGUUAUAAUAAUAGGCAAUAUAUUUGGUUUUGACUCAACCUAAAUUUGUUGCUUUGUGGCUUGUUUCUAUAGUAUUUCCAUGUUGCUUCCUGUUCCAUUGAGUAAACUUUAUCUUUUUAUCAUUGACCAGUGAAUAAUCACUUUUCUAAAGUUUCAAAUUACAAAUGAAUAUUCUAUCAAAAAAGUAUAUUCAAAAUUGGUAUAUACAAUGUAUUCAAUAUCUAGAUUAUACAUUUAUACUUUCAAUUCAAGAGGCAAAAAGAGGAAAAUCAACAAAACUAUGAGCUGUGUGCAAAUAAAAAUGACUCAACUCAGAAAGGACAUUAAUUUUAUCUCCCUGCUACCAUUGUAACUGUGAGAUCAUUUGAACAAUCAAGACCAUCCAUGUAAAACUCUCUAUCCUCAGAUCUCCUCAUGGAAGUAAUCAAAGGCUGCGUAGGUAUGGGAAGAGUCGUUGCUUCACUCUCAAGCAACAACACAACUUUGGACAUAUUUGGUCUAUGAGAUGCUGAAUCUUGCACACAUAACAUCCCUAUUUGUAUACAUCUCAAAGCUUUGUUCGUAGGACUCGAAUCACGAAUGCAAGGAUCAAGAAGUUCCAUUGCUCUGCGUUCAUUCCAAAGAUUCCAUGCCUGCAUCCAUUUCAUCACAAAACAUUAGCUUUUAGCAUUUCGAUUAGCUUAGUAUUAAUUCCUCUAAGAAUUUCAAGAACUCAAAAGAACUAAUGUGAUAAAAUAUUUUCAAGGAUUCAAUUGGUUAUUAUUGAGAAAUUGUUUAUCAGGAAAAAAACAUUUAUGCAAGUUGCAUUAAAUUUAAAAAAAUAUAUAUGUGCUGUAGGAAACACUUACAUAACCUAUUAGACUCGAAUCAUCUGAGUGACGAAAGCUAGUGUUUCUGCGGCCGCUCACAAUCUCUAGUAGUAAUACACCAAAACUAUAUACAUCUGAUUUGACUGAAACUAGGCCUUCCAUAGCGUAUUCAGGAGACAUAUAACCACUGCAGUAGAUAUAUUUGAGAUUAGCCAACUCCCAAGAAUUAAUUAGUGACUGAAUGAGGGUAAAAACAAGGGCAAAGUAUACUUACUAUGUACCAACCACUUUGGUUGCAUUCUCUUCAUUUUGAUUUCCACCGAAUAUCCGGGCCAAGCCAAAGUCAGAUAUUUUUGGAUUCAUGUUUUCAUCUAACAAAAUGUUACUUGCUUUUAGAUCUCGAUGAAUUAUUCUGAGUCUUGAAUCACGAUGCAGAUAAAGGAGUCCUCUUGCAAUUCCUUCAAUGAUUUCAUAACGUCUUGCCCAGUCUAAUUGUGUUUUCUUGAUAGGAUCUGUGUGAUGUAACCACAAAAUUCAAAUUAGUUAAAAGGAAAGUACUUAUAUAAUCUCUUUUUAUACUUAUGAUAAAAAUGCAGAAAGAAAAUAGGCAUGAUUAAUGCAAAGAAACACACCAAAUAAAAAGCGAUCCAAGCUUUUGUUCAGCAUGAAUUCGUAUACAAGCAACUUUUCAUCUCCUUCAAUAGAACAUCCCAUAAGUUUAACCAGAUUUCUAUGUUGCAGUUGUGCAAACAACCUCAUUUCAUUCUUGAACUCGUCUAAACCUUGGCCAGACCGUCUCGAAAGCCUUUUGACCGCUAUUUCUUCUCCAGACGGAAGCUUUCCCUGAUAAACAGAACAACUAACUUUCAUUAGAUCAUUUUAUUAGGUCUUGCAUUCAUGAAAAAUAGACUUAAAUAUAGAAGCAUUUUUAUAUUCACCUUGUACACAGGACCGAAACCGCCUUGCCCGAGCUUAUUUUCUUCAGAAAAAUUGUUGGUUGCUGAUGACAUGCAACUAAAAUUGAAAAAUGGAAGCUCUACUUUGCUUAGUUGAUUCCCUUCCAAACCAAGUUCAACUGAUCCGGGAAUUUCUGCUGACAUCUCUCUGCUCUUGUGUGCAUCAAAGACCGGUAGUACAUCACUAUUUUUGGAACAUGAAGCUGAAGAAAAGGAAAAAAUAUGUACAAGUUAAUAUCAUUUAUCAAUCAUCUGAUAGGGAAAAAAAAUAGGUGUGAUGAAUAUGAAUAUGAAUGUUUCACCUUUGAGUUGUCUCUUGUACCUCCAUACCAACAAUACAAUGAUUCCUAUGCAAAUUAACCCCGCUAGAGAAGUUAAUAUUAUCACCAUCAUAAUCUUUUCAUUUUUCCCUCCAUCGCCUGUAUUUCGAGACAAAAGAUAUAAUCCUGUUAUUUACUAAUACUCUAACAACAAUUACACUUCAAUUGACAGUGUUAUUCGGCUAAUUAGCUAUAACAUUAAUUUAUUAGUUAACUAAAGUGAGUCCAAUUGAAAGAGUUACUCAAGAACGAUACAGGAGAAAUUAUUACUGAUAAAUGAAAUCAAAACCAAAGAACCAUACAUGAAACAAAACUCAAGGUAUUCUUAGUACUUUACCUAAAUCAGAAUAAGCGAGACGAAUGUGCAGAGCGUUUCCUUCUCCAUGUUGAAAGUGUAGAAUAUCAACCAAAUCUCCAUACCAAACCAUACAACCAAUUCCAAUAACUUCUGCAUAAGCAGUACAAGAACCAUUCUGUAAACAAUUACCUUUACAAUCUUUCGUAUCAACCACACGCGCAAAAUCAGGUAACUUCAUACUCCCACGCACCAAAAAACCAUCCUCACCAAAACUACCAUUCCUCUGAUCACCCUUCAAUGCUGUCAUCCUCCUACAUCCACUUGACAAAUUCCUCUUAUCCUUCAGUUCAAACCCUUUUAAGCAAUUACAAAUAGCCGAACCCGAAACCGACAAUUCACAAGCUGCAAAAUCACCACAAUAGUUAUAAACCUCACACACAUUAUGAGGCCCUUUUUGUAUCUCAGUCCAACGUUUCUCAUUUUCUUUCCAUAGAAACUCUCUUUCAAUACCAUCCCAACCAAUCUGAAACCUCACUGAACUAUUAUCAUUCUCCUUCAACUCGUUAUCAUUAUAAACAAAAGACCUAUCUCCAUUACUAUCAUAAUUAAGUAUAAAACCAUGAAGAAAACUACCUGUCAUAUCAACACCAGUAAAAAUUCUACCAUCCCAAUAACCACUUCUCCAUGUUCUUCUGUCUCCCUCCCAAACUACUAUCUGUGUUGGUAACCCUGCAGGAUCAACUCCCAUAGUAUGGUUCCCUAAUGAAGGAUCUGUACUUGAUUUCCAUGAAGUGAAGAAAAAACUCUUCCCAUUAACAGGAACUUUCAUACCAGGUACAUAAGUAUCGCUUGGAUUCUCAAAGCUUUCCCAUAACACCACUUUCUCAUUUGAAAGAACAAGAUUACCAUCAUCUCGAAGAACAGCUUCCGAGUUAUUCUUAUUGGUUUGGAUGAUAGAAACAUUGGUUGACCAAAGUUGGUUUUUGUUUCCAUCAAGGAUAACUAAGUUUCCGUUUGUUGAUACAGUGAAGGAACCACCGUUUCCAUUGAUGGGUUUGUUUCUGUUUGCAACCCAAAUAACUUCGGGUCCAGGAAUGUUGUAGUACCAAAUACCAACGUAACGUGAAGAAGAAUUUUCAAACCCAAAGAAACCCAUCACGAAGUUGUAGCCAUCUGAGACUAAAACUUCACCUUCUUUGUCUCUGAUGAAUUCACCAUGUUUGAUACUGACUCUCGAACUUGAUGCUGCAUGUGAAAGUUCAGAACAGAAACAUAGGAAACAUAACAACAACGUUAAAAAAACAAAAGGUUGAUAUGUUGUGAGCAUCAUCAAUGAUCAAAAACUAAACGUUGUUGUGAAAAUUUUUUGAAUGAGAAAAAGAGAAGACAAAAAGCAGAAGAGUUGUUAUGUGCCGUGACUUUUGUUGUAAGAAGACACGUUUGUAUUGUUUUUGUAGUGUUGUUUUGGUUGUUAAAGACACGUUUUGAGAUUGGUGAAAAAGAGUUGACUAUAGAAAGCCAAUGUUUGUAGUCAAUAGUCAAUACUUCAACAAUAUCUGAUUUUUGGUUUUUUAUGAAUUCAUAGCAUUGAGCUUCUAGUUUCUAUACAUGUGAGAUUUAUUUAAAUUAUCACACAUAAUAUAAGAAAAUGCGUGCAAAAUUGGAUGAUCUAAUAAUUGACAACAUAGUUUUAUAAAUUGUUAAAUGUAUCUUAAGUUUAUAAAUUAUUAAAUGCAUUUUGGAGUGUGUUUGAAUAAGGUAAUCGGAUUUUUUUAAAGGAUUUAACAAAAAAUAAAUAUUUAAGAAUUUAGAAUUUUAGGAAAUUCUAAAUGAUUCAAUUGAAUUGUUUCUAUUUUAAAAUAUUUUUGUUUGGAUAGAAUAAUAAACAGAUUUAUUGUCAACAUUUUUGGGUUAGUUUUAUAAAUUUUUGAAAAAAAUUUAGUCAAUUUUAAGAAAUGAAAAAUAAAGGCCAAUUUUGAAAAAUUUUCAAAUUGUAAUUUUGGAAAGAAUUAGGAAACAAAUUGUACUUUUUGAAAAUUUAUAGGGGUCAAUUUGAAAAUUUGAAAAAUAUGGGAACCAAUUUGCAAGUUUUGAAAAAGUAUAAGAAGAAAGAAAAUUUGAUUUUCCUAACUAUUAGGUGUCAUUUAAAACUCUCUAAAUUUAAUUUGAACAAAAUAUUCAUAAAUUUUCAUCAUUUUAAGAAUUCUUUGAAUUAAUCAUCCAAACAAAAGGAUUUAUCUAAAAGAAUUUGAAUUCUUUCAAAAUAUUAUAUUACUCUCAAAACAUUCUCCCAUUUAAACAGGCUCUAAAUAAAUAAAUAAAUAAAUAAGGAUAGAAAUAAAUUACUUGAUACUUAAAUUUGAGACAACAUAGAUUAAAAAAAAAGGUUUGUUUAAGAGUUGCAUAAUUUUAUAUCAUUGCAAUAAAAUAUUUAAGAGUUGCCUAAACAUAUUGUGGCAUUGUGGGAUCAUUUGUUAGUAGUAUACAAUGGAAUUUAAAAUGAUUUUCUUUUUAAAGAAACUAAAAUGGAUUAAAAUACUGAAAGCCUCAAGAUUUCAGCACAAGGAGUGCCAAAACCCCAGCUGAAAGAGUCAAUUACAAGAAUGCCAAAACGGCCAAAAUAUGAACAAGACAUAUUACGUGGGAAACUCUCUUUUAAAAUGAAUUUAAAAUACAUUGCCAAUAAAAUGAAUUUCUUAAAAAAUGAAUUUUACGUGGGAAACUCUCUUUUGAAAGAGAACACAUUGCCAACCAAUAAAAUGAAUUUCUUAAAAAAUAUCUAUUGGAGAUGCUCUACUAAUCUAAACUUUUGUAUAUAAAAAAGAAAAUGAAGUUGAAAAGGUACAUUUGGAGAAAGUUCAACCCUUGUUAUUGCAUUGCCUUUUCAGACUAAAAUUAAAAUAUACUAAUAAGACAAAGGAAAAAUACAAAAAGAGUAUUUGGCAUUGAAUAGUAUUUUUAUAUUAAAAAAAUGGUGGCAUUUAUGACUAUAGUAUUGAUUGACUUAAUGGUGCCCACACAAGAUAUGCCCCACGGCCACACUGGGAAUUUUCUACAUUGUCUGUCCCUUUCUUUCAUUUUGCUACGUCCUUUUACUUUACCAACUCUUUUCCAUUUCUACACGAUUUAAUGAUUCUUCCAUCUUGUAAGAUUUUUUUUGUUGAUAUGUUCCUACUUGAGAUUUGAAAUCUAUAGUUUUCCUUUUCUUCUUCUUUUUAGAUAGGUUAAGUUUUCUUUUCAAACAAAAAAAAAAACCUUUUUUUCUUCUUCUAAUACUCUGAUAUUAAUCUCUAAAAUCAGAUCAAACCAUACUACGUGGGAAGCUCUAUUUCAAAAGAUUUAAUACAUGAUUUUGAGUACCUAUAUGUCAAUAAAAUCACGACUUUUGUUAUAUAAUGUAACAUGAGAAGCUAAAUUAUUCAAUUUACAACAAAAAGUCGAACUUCAUUAAAAUAGACCAAAUAACUUCUACGGUAGUUAGAUGUUUAUAACAAAUUAGUUUUUAAGUUAUUUUUACAAAUUAGUCUUUUAAGUUUUACCGCAGAUCAUAUUUGACCAAUUUAAUACUAUUAACUCAUUGGGGGACCUUUCACAUGUGGAUAUUUUUCUUUAUGAAAAAUGAUGACUACAAUAUCUUUGUACUUUUUUGGUGGACUGGAAAUUCAUUGAUUUGUUUUUGUUGAUUACUUACCUAUUCUUAUAUAUUCUGUUCCCCUUAGUAAAGCAUAGGGUGUCCUGAAAAGAACUUCAACUUUUAACAGGGCUAUUUUUGACACAUGCCAUCCACAAUACUAUUUUUGUAUGAGCAAGAAGCUUAUCCAAACUAGAUCAUAUGUGACGUACACCACAAUAUCACAGGUGGUGUAGUAUUGCAGAUUGCUAAUAUUUUAACAAAGAAAAUAAAUAUAACUAAAAAUUCUGAGUAGAACGAGACACAGAGUCGAGUAAAAGAGUUUCAUCAUCCCACAGAUCAUGAGUUUCAUUCAUACUAUUUGAAAUUUUUACCAGGUACAUUGAUACACAUUUAACAUCAUAUGUAUUCUAUCUACCUUGCAAGCUUGUGACAGUUACACUGUUUUUCGAGUCGUAAUUUUGUUGAGCUAAGUCUUCUCUAUGCUCAAUCUUGCUUUGAAUGAAUGCAGGUUGAGAUGGAGGAGGAAGUUUAACAAUCUCACUAUUAAGCAUUGAAACAAAUGUGGCCAUGGUAGGUCUCUCCUUUGCAAUUUCUUGCACACAAACAAGUCCAAUAUGUAUGCAUCUCAAAAUCUGAUCCACAUAAUCAGGCUUACAUAUUUCUGGAUCUAUCAAAGAUAUAAUCUCCUCUUCAUUCCAUAGUUUCCAUGCCUUAAAAAAAAUAAAAUCAAAUAAUUGGAAAAUUUAUUAUUAUUAUUAUUAAAAUACAAAAACUAAUAUUUUCAAUGCAAAACCAAAUUAUUAUAGAAACAGAAAGCAGAGCUUUAUUAUGAAUCUGUAUUGGGAGACUUACAUAUCCUAAGAGGUUAAGUGCUUGCUCAUGGUUAUAAAAACUUGUGUUCUUCCUACCACUUAUUAUCUCGAGGAGCAAAACCCCAAAGCUAAAAACAUCUGAUUUCUCUGAAAACAACCCCUCCAUUGCGUAUUCUGGAGACAUAUAUCCACUGCAUCUAUAACUAUUAAUAAAGGCAAAACAUUAGUUUGGUGUAGCCUUUUUUGUAAUACCAAAAUACCCUCAACCCGUCACACAAUUACAACUCACUUGACCGGUUAUUUUCAAAAACAAUAAAACUGCUGCCGUAAACAAUUACCCUCAGCCCGUCUCACAACCGCUGCCACAUUUCCAAACAAACAUGCAUUCUUUUACAUUAGACAAUUGAAAAAUAAUUGUUCAUAAGGGAAGAAAUAAGUUUAUCUACUCCUCCAAUAUACAGGUUCCACUUACUCUCAUUAAAUUAUAAUUGCUUUGGAUAAUUUUAUGCAUCCAAUAAACUUACAUGCAUUAUUUUACAUAUAUGUUGAAGAACACGAUUGACGUAUAUGGAAGAGCAUAGUGAGUAUAAACAAUUGUUGAUUACAGAGAAAGUAAAUGAAUAUUAUUAGUUGUAUAAUUGUUUUUAUUUAAACUAUUAAAUUUUUUACAACAAUAUAUAGUUUCCAUCCUUCUAUUUUGAUCCUUUUUUUGUUCAUUGACGUUCCCUUUUUUCUGUGUUUUUUUUUCUUUCUUUUAUUCAUUUUAUUACUCUCACACAUUUGAAAUAUUGGAAUUAUUUAAAAAAUAUAUAUAAAAAAGACUUCAUAUGUAUCUGCUUGAAGAUAUUAGAAUAUCGUCAAGUUUGUGAUGAAGUGGCCAGUGGGAAUAUCUUUUUCUUUUGCAUGGAAUAGUCCACACAUCUUUGCCAAUUUCUUUUUUUAUCAAAUACAUUGUUCAUUGGCAUGCUUACUGUAAUUGAUCAAUCAAUGCUCUAAUUAAAUGUAUGAGAUUAAUUAAUCAAUCAAUACUUUGUGAUUGAAAAUAACUUUUUAGCCAGAAGCACUUUCUGAAGCAUUUUGAUUAUAAACUUUUUAGAAAUCAAGAUAAGCAUUUAGCGAGAAAAAAAUGUUUCAAUUGCUCCAAUUUUAAAUGAUUUGCAGUUAAAAGCCUCCUCAUGGCAGUUAAAAAAUAUUUAUAUCGACGUUUUGUUCAUAUAUUUUCAUCCUAAGAUUGUUCAUUAUGAUUUUGUAGUAACUUUUUAAAUGCUUAUUUCAAUUAGAUAGAUGGACAAAAAACAUAACAAAAUGGAAAAUAAUCAUGGUCAACAAUCAAAGGACCACCGAAGGGAAAGUUGGACUCGAAAUGCAAGAAAACUAAGGCAAAAUAUGAGCAUCAAGCAAAGACAACAAGAUUUUUUUUUUUUGAAGAACAUAGACAGCAAGAAUUGUCUGAAAGACGAUCGAAUUACAGUCAUACGAAGGACAAAGAUAAACAAGUGGAAAUAACGAAUGUCAUAGACGGAGAGCACAUGAUGCCAUUUCAGGAUUUGACAAAUAUCUAUUUUGCAUUGUCACAUGUUCAAGGAACACAUGGUGAGGCUUAGUGAGUUAAAAUUAUUAUUUUUUAAUUUAUUUCAUAUUUAUUUCAAAUUACAUUUACUUAUAUGAAUUUACAAUAUAUUAACUAUUUUUAAUAAAUUAAUCACUUUACUGUCUAUAUUAGAACUUACUGAGCAGCAUUUUGAUUCAUCAUAUUCUCUAGGAACUCAUAUGAAGCGGCCAUAUUCUCAAGGAACUCAUAACAAUAGAGCGGGGCCAAGUAGAAGAAAUAUUGAUAACACUACAAGUGUGGUAUACAAGUAAUUUCUAACAUAUUAAUUUGUUAAAUUUAGUAAUUAUAUAUCUUUCGGUAAUUACCUUUUUAAACUACAACUUCCUAAUAUGAAUUCAAUGUAAUUUUACGGAGCCUCCAACACCAAAUGUGCUAUCCGGUACCACACUUAAUGACGCAGUGUCAUAUUACAAACAAGGUACCGAUUAAAAUUGUGUAAAAACCCAAAAAAAAUAUAGAAAACAAAUAUAUUAAUAUUUGGUAUAUUUUUAUUUCAUAUUAAAACUUCAUUAAAUAGAAGAGACAUACAAAACAUGAAAAAAUUAAUAAUAAAUGAAUUAGACUCAUUGAUUAUUACCCUUAUUGUGAAACAAGUCUGGGGGAAGAAGAGGGGGAGGAAAAAAUAUUGAGAAAGAAAUAAAGGGAAGGACGGGAACUAUAGCGUUGGUGGAAGAGAGAUGGUUAGGGAAAUAUUUUUCAGGCUCUUCUAAUGGUUUGUUUGUUAGGUUUGCUCAUAAUUCUACUAUCAUCAAAUUCACAUGACAAAAUUAUUUUUUUAAGUAAUUUUCUCUGCAAACUGGAGUUUCGGCAUUUCUUUAGUAUGUUUUACUAAGAGGCUCCCUUUUAAACCUUGCAUUUUUUUUUUUGUUCAUUUGAUCAUACCAACAUUUGUCUCAUCAAGUUCAUUUCAUGCCUCCUUUUACCAAUCGGAUACGUGUUGUAAUAUUGUGAAAUAGAUAGAGUACACACCAGUUUUCCAGUUGAGGGAUGAAUGUGAAAGAAAUUCGUCCUGGUGCAGAUUUUCUCAAAGGAAAAGAGAUAGCCUCUAUGUUCAAUGACUCGAUUUUGCUCUUCAUAUUAUAUAUUUUCUAAUGUAUUUGAACAUAAACAAUAGGAACUCAGGUUAAGUGUUGAAAUUGGUUAUUUUAUUUCUCAUGUAUUUGGUGUAAGCCAUCCAUUUUUCAAUUGUGAAACCUAUUAGUUCUAUUCAUGAGAUUUUUGUCAUAAGCUUUAUAUAUUACUCUUCUGCAAUGUGUAAAAUACAUUAUAUUUGUGUAUUCCAUAUUGUAUAUUAAUUUAUACAAAAAAAUAUAAUCAAAUACAUACAUACAUACGUUAGCGCAGUAGAAAAAGCGGACAGACGGGCACGGGAGUGCCCGUCUGGACGCUAGUUUAAAUAUAAAGAUAAUAUAUUAUGGCUCUUCAAUUGCACAAUCUUAUAAAAAAAUGUAAAGAAAAAAACCAUACUUACUAUGUUCCCACAAUCCUCCUUGUAUUUCCCUCAUUUUCGCUACCUCCGAAGAUUCUAGCCAUGCCAAAAUCAGAUAUUUUUGGAUUCAAUUCUCCAUCCAACAAGAUAUUACUUGGCUUUAGGUCUCUAUGUAUUAUUCUUAAUCUUGAAUCUCUAUGAAGAUAAAGCAGACCUCGAGAGAUUCCUUCAAUUAUGGUUAAACGUUUUUUCCAAUCUAAAACCUUCUUUUUUACUGGGUCUGCAGAAACAUCAAAAAGUAAGGCAAUCAUAACACAGUAAAAUGUAACUUUCGGUCACUACAUAAUAAUAUUUUGAGGUAUUCAAAUGAAAGGCUAAACUAUUUUCAUAAUUUUUUUUCAUUUUAUAUACAAGGAACAUAAAAAUAGAAAAACUGUCAUGAAUCUCUUUCUUUUCAUAAGAAAUACCAUGAAUCUAUUCGAUGAAGGAUAAGAAAUGAAACAUUGCUUACUAAGAGUGAACAAUAAUAAAAGAUCAAUGGUAGUAACAUAUUUUACGUAAUUAAUACAAUAGUAAUGAGUGAAAUUCACAUUUCACCAAUUUGAAAAUUCAUAAAAUCAAUUUGACUGUCAUUAAUACAAUUACAAUAAGUUUUAUUUCAAAUUUAUUUUAGAAUAAAGGUAAAUUUAAUCAAUAAUAUGUAUUAAUUUUUUUUCUAUAUUAAAAUUCCAUCCACCCUAGACACUCAAGAUGAAGAAGUUUAGAUGUACACUAACCAAAUAGAUAAAAAUCUAAACUGUUAUUAGGCAUGUACUCAUAGACCAACAUCUUUUCGUCCCCUUCAAUGCAGCAACCUAGAAGUCUUACAAGAUUGCGAUGUUGAAGCUUUGAUAUAACAAUCACUUCAUUCAUAAAUUCUUCUAACCCCUGUGCCGAAGCCUUUGAAAGUCUCUUCACUGCUACUUCUAAUCCAUCUGGUAAUUCUCCCUACAAUUUUUUCAUGAAAAAUGAAAACAUAUAAUAUAAAACAUUAAGAAAAGAUAAACACUCCAUGAAACUUGUUUACCUUGUACACCGAACCAAAACCACCCUGACCAAUCUUAUUAGUCGAACCAAAGUUAUUUGUUGCCGAUGAAAUAAUUUUGAAUUCAAAUAAAGGAAGGUCCUCUAUUUUAACCUGUUUCACAUCUCCAAUAGGACUUGCACUUUGGUUCUCUUGAUGAGUUUGUCCUGCAUUCAACACCAACAAACUUUGUAUUUUCCUUCUUCAUGAUUCCAAUUAUAUUUAUUCAAAAUAAAUAAAUAACUCUUCAGAAAAGCAUAUAUUUGUUCAAGUAUGCAGGUGACAGGAAACAUGAAGUUCUAGAAAUACAAAUACCUGAGCGUUUAGAUGCCGAUGACCAAAAGAAAUAAGUACAAAGUAGCAACAAUAAUUACUCCAACUAUUACUAUAGCUAUGAUGAUUGAUGUAAUAUUUCUCUUCCCGUGAAUGCCAUGUGUAUGAAUCCCAUCUGUAUCUGUAUGUUUAGCUGUUAACAAAACUUGAUUCAGAAAUCUGGUUAUUGGACUAAAAGUUGAAGAAUAAAUCUUGUACACAUUUAUCACAUCAGAAGAAAAAAAAUUAUAGCUGAGAUAUGCACAGCAUAUACUCACUAAUUUCUGAAUAAGCUUGGCGUAUGUAAAGAUCAAUGCCUCCACCUGUAAACCUGACUAUGUCAAUUAGUUUAUCACUCCAAGUUAAGCACCGGAUUCCAUUAUCAUAUGCAUAAGCAACACAAGAACAAUUAUUCAAGCACUCAAUUCGACAAGCAUCAAGAGAAGGAUAUGAUUGUUCUACAAAAUCUGGUGGUUUUGUCGUCUCUAGUUUUAGAAACCCGUCUUCUUCACCGUCUAAUGCACUCCCAUUGUACUUCCCCCUCUCACAUUGUAGUGUAGCCCUUCUCACACACCCACUAGUCCAAUUUUCUCUAUUCCAUUCGCCCACGUUUCUUGGCUUAAAACCUAUCAAACAAGUACAUAUUGGAGAAUUUUUCAAAUCACAGCUUCCAUUAGGACCACAAAUACCAUAAACAUCACAAUCAUUUUGUUGAACUACCCGCUUCCGAACUUGAAUCAUAUUGAUCCAGGCAGUGUACACAAGCUUGCCUUCAGAACUCAAUACAAUGGUUGCAAAGAAGGAACUGUUUGGCAAUGUAUAUGUAAUCUCAACAAGACUUCCAUUAUCUUCCCUUCUAAUGAUAAACCCUUUUAGAUUUGCAGAAGUAGGCAACCAAUUACUUGCCAAACCAAGAAAAUCUUGACCAUUCCAUGGACCUGAGCGCCAAUACGGUUUUGUUUGGUUCCAUACAAAAAUUUCAGGAGCAUUGAAACGCUCAAUGGUAGCAGAGAAUUUCCCAAUAGCUGGAGCUGAAGGAGUUUUCCAUGAAGUGGCUUUUACUCUUUCACCUGUUUUUUGGUUGCUGCUAAGUAUCAUAUUUGCAAUGAAAGCAUUUGAUGGAUGCUUGCCACUCUCCCAUAUUAUGUUGCCUGUAGUGUUUUCAAGCAAAGCAAGAUUUCCAUCAUUUUGUAGCUGAGCAGUGACAUUAGAAUUUGAUGAUGCCAAAUUACUUGAGACAUUUGAUGACCAUAUAACAUGCUUUUGUCCAUUCAGUACUACAAGGUUGGUGUAAUCAUGAGAUAUUGUGAUAACCCCAGAAGAAUCUUGUAGUGGUUUUUCUCUAUUGGCUAUCCAUAUGAUGUUAGAUUGAUUGAUAUACCAGAUUCCUACGUAGCGAUUUGUUGUGUUCACCGGGCUGAAGAAUCCAAGCUUGAAUGCUUCGUUGUUAGAACUUAUUGUUUCAUUUUCUUUGAUCAAUUGAGGCAAUGUAAUUGUGUUCACAGAAGCACUAGUGCCACUGUUGGUCAUGUAAAUGAUAGAGAGUGUAAGUAAAACAGGUAACAUGUUUCCUUGUACUCUUGAGUCCCAACAUGUUUACAUGCAUUAUAUGCAUAUUGGGAGGACACUAUAAAUGACUAUUUACCGGACCAGGUUUGAGUGCAGUCAUAGGUCAGUGAUUGCAUACAAUAAGGAAGCAUGUGGCCAUCUGAUCCUGCUCGAACAGUCUAGAUUUUAACAUCACAAUUUUAUAUUAAAUAAAAAUCGUAAACUAUCUUAAAAUGUGAGUCGUCUGAUCAAAAUCUAAUUGUUCUAAUCUACUGACUGCACCUGCAUGUGCUUCUAAUCCAAUUCCCUAUUUACUUCUCAUCAACUUUUGCAGGUGCAAGUUGGAAUAGGACCCACAUCAUUAUUUUCACACCUAUAUUUCUUUUGGUGUACUCUUUCCCCUUUCAAUUUAAAUGUCAAUAAAGGUUUCCUUUACAAGAAUUCAGAAUCGCCAGAAUAAUAAUUUAGUGAGUAGAAUUAUUUAUUUUAGUUAAUUAGUUACUCCGUGUACAAUAAAUAUUUGGACCCACCCCCAAUCAGCAAAGCAGCAUUGGGGGCUUCAGGCACGGGAACGGGGCAUGUCCUGAGAAGAACCGCAAACACUUGAAUUUCAACGGUCUAGCUUUUCAAAUAUAAACUAUCAAUUAUUAGUUAUAAACUAGCUUUUCAACUAUCAACUAACUUAUAACUUAAUUUUACUAAUCAGAGCCUUAGUAUUCACAGAAAAAUUGGUUUACUUUGUAUUUUUGUUGCAGUGAAUUUCAUCAUCCCACAAAUCAUGAGCUUCAUUGGUGCUACUUGAAAUUUAUGAGGGUACAAUGAAAAAUGGAUUAAAAACUUUCAAGAGCAUCUAAACAACGGCUAGAAGAAUUUAUGAAAGAGGUUAACAUUGCCAGACUUCUUAGUAAUUGCGUAAUCGAAAUUUAAAUGUCGUACCAGAUAGGCAGGAUUAGACAACUUUUAAUUAUAUCCAUGCUAUUGAAAAAAUAAAGUCCCACUUAUAUUAAAAAUAAAGUCCGACUAGAGUUUAUAAAGAUGAUAUAAAAACAUAACACAUACAUAGCCUCUACUCCUACUUAUUCCUCUUCUGUUAUUUCUAAGACAAAUUCUUUUAUACAUGAUCAGUUAUCUCACACAUCUACAACAAUUUAAACAAUUACUUUGCUAACAAAAAAGUCAAAUCCUUCUUUAUUUUAUUAGUAUUUCUUUAUAUAGUAUAUAAACAUUUAGCUUAGCAUCAUUUGUAUGCACUCCCUUCUCCAUCUUCUAAUUGGAAUAAAAAAUACACCAAAAGGCAUAUGUCUGUUAUCUGCCUUGCAAGCUUGUGGUGGAGACACUGUUUUUCGAGUUGUGAUUUCCUCUAUGCUCAGUCUGACUUAGAAGGAAUGCCGGUUGAGAUGGAGGAGGAAGUUUAACAAUCUCACUAUUAAGCAUUGAAACAACUGCGGCCAUAGUAGGUCUCUCCUUUGCAAUUUCUUGCACACAGAGAAGUCCAAUAUGUAUGCAUCUCAAAAUCUGAUCCAGACAAUCAGGCUUACAUAUUUCUAGAUCUAUCAAAGAUACAAUGUUCUCUUCAAUCCAUAUUUUCCAUGCCUUAAAAAAACCAAAAAAGAAGAAGAAUAAACAGCAUCAUCUAUAUGUAUACAAAUUUGAAAGAGUAUAUUAUUAUUAUAGCAAAAAAAAUAUACCCUAUAUUGGGCAAAAUUAGCAAUUUGGAAAGACUUACAUAUUCUAAGAGGGUGAGUGCUUGCUCAUGAUUAUGAAAACUUGUGUUUUUUCUACCACUUAUUAUCUCCAAGAGCAAAACUCCAAAACUAAAAAUAUCUGAUUUCUCUGAAAACAACCCUUUCAUUGCAUAUUCUGGAGACAUAUAUCCACUGCAUUUAAUUAAUUGCACUAUCAAAUAAACUAUUAGUAUGACUCUUGACAUGAUAUUACAUUAUAUUUUGGACUUAAUUUCUUUUUUAACCCCUCUAUUAUCUUCAUUGUGCGAUUUUAAGCACCUCAACCCUAUUUAAUUUUUUUUUUUUUUCAGUUUUAACUGUUAAUAUUACCUCCUUUCAUCUUGUGUAGCACCCUACUCAAUUUUGUUUGAUUUGGUGCUGAGGUGGCAAUUUUCUAUGAGGUGGCAUGGUCAAAGUGGACAUUAGAAAAUUAAAAGAUUAAAAUAAAUUUUAGAAAUUUACAAAAUUCAUAAAAAAAACAAUUUUUAUCACUAAAAAUUAACUAUCAUAAAAUUGAAGGGCCAUAAUCACACACAAAAAAUUGAAGGGGUCAAAAUUGUACAAUUAAAAAAUUAAAGGGGUUAAAAGUUCAAUGCUUAGGGACUCAUAUAAAGAUAAACCAAUGCUUAAGUAAUGCUUACUAUGUUCCGAAAAUCCUUCUUGUAUUGCCCUCGUUUUCAUUGCCUCCAAAAAUUUUGGCCAUGCCAAAGUCAGAUAUUUUUGGAUUCAUUUCUCCAUCCAACAAGAUAUUACCGGGCUUAAGGUCUCUAUGUAUUAUUCUUAAUCUUGAAUCUCGAUGAAGAUAAAGCAAUCCUCGAGAGAUUCCCUCAAUUAUGUGUAAGCGUCUUUGCCAAUCUAAAAUCUUCUUUUUUACGGAGUCUGCAAAGCCAAAAACAUUAGAAAGUAAGGUAUAACUAAGAAAGAUGCUGCAAAAUGCAAACUUUUGGUCAAAUAAUGUAAAACAGUUUUUUUUUUUUUUUAAUUAAAAGAAUUUCAAGAAAUAACAAGUUUUAUGAUGAUUUUAUAAGAAAUAAUAAGUUACGAUGUACUAACCAAAUAGGUAAAAAUCUAAACUAUUAUUCGGCAUGUAUUCAUAGACCAACAUUUUUUCUUCCCCUUCGAUGCAACAACCUAGAAGUCUUACAAGAUUGCGAUGUUGAAGCUUUGAAAUCACAAUCACUUCGUUCAUAAAUUCUUCUAACCCUUGUGUUGAACCUUCUGAAAGUCUUUUCACGGCUAUUUCUUGUCCAUCUAACAAUUCCCCCUGAAAUUGUUUUUUCAAGAAAAAUGAAAAUCUUUAAUAGAAAAUAUUAAGAAAGAUAAAAAAAAAAAAAUGACAAGAUUUAGUUUACCUUGUACACUGAACCAAAACCACCUUGACCAAUCUUAUUAGCUGAACCAAAGUUAUUUGUUGCUGAUAAAAUAUUUUUGAACUCGAAUAAAGGAAGGUCUUCUAUUUUAGCUUGUUUCACAUUUGCAAUUAGAUCUGCACUUUGGUUUUCAUGAUUGAUUUGCCCUGUGUUCAAUACCAACAAACUUUAUACUCUUUAAACACCUUUAAUAGUAAGUUUUGAUGAAAAUCUGUAUAAUCAUUGCAUUGGAAUUUGUAACAUUUGACUUUUUUGAAGAAUAUUUUCCAAAUUUAUGAUCUUUAAAGAGUGUCUGGGGACACUCGUUAACGAAACUUAUUUUAAUGUCAAAUAUUCCUAUAGGACAUGGAGAAUAUGUUUUCUUCUUGAUUACUAAUCCUCUUUUUAAGCAUGGAAGUAAUGAAGAAAAUGUGAAAGUUCUAAAAAUAGAAAUACCUUGACGUUUAGACGUCCAUGACCGAAAGAAAAAAGCACAAAUAGCAACUAUUACUGCUCCCACUAUCACAGUAGCUAUAAUGAUUGAUGUAAUAUUUCUCUUCCCAUGAAUGCCAUCUGUAUGAGUCCCAUCUGUAUGUAUAGCUGUUAAAAAUGAUUAGUUUAGAAUCUGGUUAUUGGACUAGAAGUUGAAGAAUAAAACCUGACUAGUUGAAAACCGAGUUCUUACUAACCGAGUUCUGAAUAAGCUUGGCGUAAGUAAAGAUCGACGCCUCCACUAGUUGAAAACCUGACUAUGUCAAUUAAUUUACCACUCCAAGUCAAGCACCUAAUUCCAUAAUCAAAUGCAUAAGCAACACAAGAACAAUUAUUCAAGCAAUGAAUUCUACAUUCGUCAAGAGAAAGAACAUAUGAUGGCUCUACAAAAUCCGGUGGUUUUGUCAUCGGUAGUUUUAGAAAUCCGUCUUCUUCACCUAAUGCACUCCCACUGUACUUCACCCUGUCACACUGUAGUUCUGCCCUUCUCACACACCCACUUGUCCAAUUUCGUCUAUUCCAUUUGUCCAUAUUUCUUGGCUUAAAACCUAUCAAACAAGUACAAAUUGGAGAAAUUUUCAAAUCACAGCUUCCAUUAGGACCACAAAUACCAUAAGAAUCACAAUCAUUUGAUUGAACAAACAGCUUCCGAACUUGAACCCUAUUCAUCCAUGCAGUAUACACUACCUUGCCUUCAGAACUCAGUACAAGGGUUAAAAAGAAUGAACUAUCUGGCAAUGUAUAUGUAAACUCAACAAGACUUCCAUUAUCUUUCCUUGUAAUGCUGACACCUAAUAGAUAUGGAGAAGAAGAAACCUUAUAAUCAUGUGUCCAACCAAGAAAAUCUUGACCAUUCCAUGGACCUGAGCGCCAACAUGGAUUUGUUUGGUUCCAUACAAAAAUUUCAGGAGCAUUGAAGCGCUCAAUGCUAGCAGAGAAUUUCCCAAUAGCUGGAUCUGAAGGAGUUUUCCAUGAAGUGAGUUUUACUCUUUCACCUGUUUUUUGGUUGCUGCUAAUUAUCAUAUUUCCUAUGAAAGUAUUUGAUGGAUGCUUGAUACUCUCCCAUAUUAUGAUAUUGUCUUCAAGCAAAACAAGAUUUCCUUCAUUUUGAAGUUGAGCAGUGACAUUAGAAUUUGAGGAUGCCAAAUUACUUGAGACAUUUGAUGACCAUACAACAUGUUUUUGUCCAUCUAAUACUACAAGGUUUGUGUUGUCAUCAGCUAUGGUGAUAACUCCUGAAGAAUCUUGUAUUGGUUUUUCUCGGUUGGCUACCCAUAUGAUGUUGGAUUGAUCGAGAUACCAGAUUCCAACGUAGCGAUUUGUUGUGUUCACGGGGCUGAAGAAUCCAAGCUUGAAUGCAUCAUCACUUGAGCUUAUAGUUUCAGAAUCUUUGAUCAAAUGAGAGGAUGUAAUUGUGUACAUAGAAGCACUACCGAUUUUGAUCAUGUAAAGGAUUAAAAGAGUGAAUAAAAUAUGUAACAUGUUUCCUCGUAUUCCGAGUCCCAAUAUGUUUGGAUUCAAACGUUAGUUGACAGUACCAUUAUAUUACACAUUGAGAGGACAAUAUGAAUGUCUAUUUACUUCUCAUUAAAUUUUGUUGGUUGAAGUUGGAAUAGGACCCAUGUCAUUAUUUUCACACCUAUAUUUUCACCUAUUUCUUUUUGUGUAUUCCUUCCCCUUUUAAUUUAAAUGUGAAUAAAGGUUUCUGUUACAAGAAUUAAGAAUCACAAAAAUAAUUUACUGAGUAGAAUAAUUUAUUUUGAUAGUAUAUGAGUAACUAUUUAAGGUUUCAUUGUUCAUUUUGAUGUCCUUUUAUAUUAACAGCUAGAUUUAUCAAAUAUACUUGAAUUUCAAUUAGCUAUCAGCAAGAUUAUAACUUAGGUUUACUAAACAGAGACUUAAUAACACGACACACUUCAACUAAUGGUCGUUGUAUGCCAAUUCAAUGUGGAAAGAUCUGAUCAUAAACAUAAUAAUUCACUGGCAAUUGUUCUAAAUGUCAGUAUCAUGAACAUGGCCAACUUAAAGUGGGAAUUGAGUUUAUAUCAAAUAUGAGCCAUUCAAUAAACUGACAUGUUGCAGAAAUAUUAGUUGAUUUUGAAUUUUUCAGAGCAGAAUAUUCAAGCCAUAUAUAAUUCCAAGGGAAUGGGACAUGUCAUGUCGCACAUGAACAUCUUCAAGUGUAUAACUUUUCGGUUAUAUACUAGGAAAAUCUGAAAUUUAAUUCGUUUUUUUCACUUUUUUUUUUAUUCUUUCCAAGAACUUUUUUGGACUCUACAAAUUGAUAUCACAACUCAUCUGUUGCUUAAAACAGAACUGAUAUUCUACUAGCAUUUCUUAUACGUUUAUAAACUAUCAACUUGGGAAAAUCUGAAAUUUAAUUUGGUCAAGAGUCUCAUGAUCAAGUCAAAUGCAUUAACAUUUGUUGACAGUUUCACAUAUAAUAGGGGGGAAAGCGUUUAUAAGUAAACGACGUCCCUCGUCUUACAAGGUUGGUUUUGUGAAAUCUAGUUAGAGUCAAUCCAAAUUCUUAUAUAAACUAGAUCUGUUUGUAAAUGAGAUAUUAUAUAUUGAGUUGAAGUUAUAUAUAAAAGAGUAGUUCGAUUUAAUAUAUUUACUAUACAAAUGUAUACUAGUUUACGGUCUUAAGGGUGGUUCUGUUUCAUUCCAUCAUAUGUAUUCUAUCUGCCUUGCAAGCUUGUGACAGUGACACUGUUAUUCGAGUCGUUAUUUUGUUGACCUGAGUCUGCUCUAUGCUCAGUCUGACUUAGAAGGAAUGCAGGUUGAGAUGGAUGAGGAAGUUUAACAAUCUCACUAUUAAGCAUUGAAACAACUGUGGCCAUAGUAGGUCUCUCCUUUGCAAUUUCUUGCACACAAAGAAGUCCAAUGUGUAUGCAUCUCAAAAUGUUACCCACAUAAUCAGCAUUACAUAUUUCUUGAUCUAUCAAAGCUACAACCUCAUCUUCAUUCCAUAGUUUCCAUGUCUUUAAAAAACCAAAAAAAAAAAAACAAGAAAAAUUAAGACUUACAUAAUAUUGAGCUGUAAUAUGAAUCUAUGGGCGAAAAUUUAAAAAGACUUACAUAUCCUAAGAGAGUGAGUGCUUGAUGAUUAUAGAAACUUGUAUUUUUCCUACCACUUAUUAUCUCCAAGAGCAAAACCCCAAAACUAAAUACAUCUGAUUUCUCUGAAAACAAUCCUUCCAUUGCAUAUUCCGGAGACAUGUAUCCACUGCAUUUAAAUUUCAUUAUCAAAUUAAAUAUAUAUUAUUGGCUCUUUAAUUGCAAUGUUAUAAGGACGUAUAUAUAAAGAUAAAACAUGCUUACUAUGUUCCCACAAUCCUUCUUGUAUUUCCCUCGUUUUCGCUACCUCCGAAGAUUCUAGCCAUGCCAAAGUCGGAUAUUUUUGGAUUCAGUUCUCCAUCCAACAAAAUAUUACUCGGUUUUAGGUCUCUAUGGAUUAUUCUUAAUCUCGAAUCUCUAUGAAGAUAAAGCAGUCCGCGAGAGAUUCCUUCAAUUAUGUAUAAGCGUUUUUGCCAAUCUAAAAUCUUCUUUUUUAUUGGAUCUGUUGAUACAUCGGAAAGUAACUAAGUAAUCACUAGCAAAAUUCAACUUUUGGUAACUGUAUAACAAGAUUUUGAGGUACUCAAAAUGAAAGGCUAAACCAUUCUUAAAAGUAGACAGAAUGUCAUGAGUGUGUUCUACGGAAGAUAAUAAACUAACCAUAUUGAAAGAAACACAUUCUGUGUUUUUUUUAUAAGCGAAACACAAUAUAUGCAAUACUCUAUAGUCUAUCCACUACAAAUUAUUCUUUAAUUGAUCAAUUUUAUAAAAUCAAGCUUAUUCAAAAUAAUUUGAAAAUGAUCACCUAAACAUAUAUUUUGUAAAAUCUAGGUAAAUUUAAUGGGAUAAUAGAAAGUGUUGGAAACAUUGUGUCAUGUAUUGUGCAACAAGUGUUAGAAAGUGUUGUAAUAAUCAGGUGUUGAUGGUUCACCAUUUGAUAUAAUGGACGUGCAAUCAAAUGGUUAAAAUCAGAUCAGAAAUAUUAAACAUUAAAAAAGCUAACGGUGAGGAUUAAGUUGACUGACAAAGCAUAUUAGAGGGACCGAAAGGGAAAAUUUUAGAGUUAAGGGACCAAAUUGAAAACAACAAAUAAGUUAAGGGAUCAUUUAUGUAAUUAAGCCUUUCUUUUAUGGAUUAAAAUCACUUGAAGAAAGAACAAGUUAGAUGUACACUAACCAAAUAGAUAAAAAUCUAAACUGUUAUUAGGCAUAUACUCAUAGACCAGCAUUUUUUCUUCCUCUUCGAUGCAGCAGCCUAAAAGUCUUAGAAGAUUACGAUGUUGAAGCUCUGAAAUUACAAUCACUUCAUUCAUAAAUUCUUCUAUCCCUUGGCUUGAAGUUCUAGCAAGUCUUUUCACUGCUAUUUCUCGUCCACCGGGCAAUUUUCCCUGAAAUUGUUUUUUCAAGAACAUUAUAAUACAGAAUAUUAAUGAAAGAAAAACUUCACAAGACUUAGUUUACCUUGUACACUGAACCAAAACCACCCUGACCAAUCUUAUUAGCUGAACCAAAAUUAUUUGUUGCAGCUGAAAUUUUCUGGAACUCAAAUAAUGUAAGGUCCUCUAUUUUGAUUUGUUUCACAUUUUUAAUCGUACUUGCAUUUUGGUUUUCUGGAUAGCUUUGUCUUGUGUUCAAUAUCAACGAAUUUGGUUCUUUCCUUCUCCCUGAUUCCAAUUAUAAUCCAAGAUACAUACUCAAAAGAAUAAAUAAAUAAACAAACAGAAACAGUCUUUGAGUGGUAAAUAUCUUGGAGUUCCUAUACUUCAUAAAAAGGUCUCUAAAAGUACUACCAAUUUAUCUUGGAUAGAGUUAAUCAACCACUUAGUUCUUGGAAGUCAAAAACUUUGUCGUUUUCAAGACGUUACUCUUACAAAAUCUGUUCUCCAAGCCCUUCCCUCUUAUGUUACGCAAACAGUGAUGUUGCGGGUGGGAAUUUGUGAUGAAGAUGACAAGAUUUGCAGAUGAUUCUUUGGGGGAUCAAGAAGAGAGGAAAAAACCUCAUCUUGUGAACUGGAAUACAUUGUGUACUCCCCAAAAAUUCGGUGGUUUAGGCUUGAGAAGUAUGUGUCAAGUUAACACUGUGUAUAUGAUGAGAGCUAAUUGGCGUUUUUGUACUCGACCAAAGAAGAUGUGGACAUCUGUUAUUCGUAAGAAAUACAAAUGUGGUUCUUUUUUGCUUCCGAUGGUAAAUGUUUGAUAAAAUGGGGAGCAAUUUUUGGUGUGGCUUGUGUGCUACCUGGACUAAUUUCCAAAAUCAGAUUAUAUGGAGAUUAGGUUCAGUCGAGGAGUUGAUUUCUGGAAGGAUAACUGGGCUGACACUGAUAUGCCUCGUAUAAACUAUACGGUUAGUCUGACUGAGCAUUUUGAAGCAACAAAAGUGGUUGAAAAUUAUGUUGACAGUGAAGAAAGAUGGGACCAGAGUAGUUUGAUAAAUACAUGACAUCAAGAGGUUGCCUCCACCUCAUCCUCAAAGUGGUGAUGACUGUCUUGCUUGGAGGCUUACAAGUGAUGGUUGAUUCACGCUGGUAUCAGCUAAUGAGACUGCAGUGAGAUCGAACAAUAGCAACGCGCAUCAGAUUUUUAGAGCAAUUUGGAGUUGGAGAGGACCACAUAGAAUUCAAUGUUUUCUAUGGAAACUUAACCAUUCUUCUCUUCUUAGUUCUUACUAAUGUUACUCGGGUUAGAAGGAAAAUGGGUCAGUCUGAAGAGUGUCCUUUAUGCAAUUUAGGUAGUGAAAGUUUCCUUCAUAUAUUUAAGUUAAACAAGAUCAUGUUACCUAUUAGUUUAAUAAAUGAUUAUAAGUGAGCAAAUAAUAAAGAAAACAUGAAGAAUCCAUAGAUACCUGAAUGUUUUGAAGCCCAUGACCAUAAGAAAUAGGUACAAGUAGCAAAAAUAAUUGCUCCCACUACCACUGUUGAUAUGAUGAUUUUUCUAACAUUUCUCUUCCCUUUUGUAUCUAUAGCUGUUAACAUAAUUUAGAUACCAAUAUAAUUAUUUUCCUAGAACUAUACUUCUAUAAUAAUAAUAAUAAUUAAUAAAUUCACUACACACAAAAAAUGAGAAAAAUUAGCUAUUAGCUAUGGCCUGUGGACUAUGCAUACUCACAAAGUUCUGAAUAAGCUUGGCGUAUGUAAAGAUCGGUGCCUGCACUUGAAAACCUGACUAUGUCAAUUAAAUUACCACUCCAAGUCAAGCACUGAAUUCCAUCAUCAAAUGCGUAAGCCGUGCAAUUACAAUUAUUCAAGCACUCAGCUCUACAUGCAUUAACAGAAAGAUAUGACUGUUGCACAAAAUCUGGUACUUUUGUCGUCUCGAGUUUCACAAAAUCAUCUCCUUUGCCACCUAACGCACUCCCAUUAUAUUUCACCCUCUCACAUUGUAGGGAUGCCCUUCUCACACACCCACUACUCCAAUUCUGUUUAUUCCAUUCGUCUACAUUUUUUGGCUCAAAACCUUCUAAACAUGUGCAUAUUGGCAAAUUUUUCAAAUCGCAACUUCCAUUAGGACCACAAUAACCAUAAAUGUCACAUUCAUUUUGUUGAGGAACAUUCGUCCCAACUUGAUACCUAUUGAUCCAUGAAGUGUAAACCAGCUUGCCUUCAGAACUCACCACAAGGGUUCCAAAAUCAGAACUAUUUAGUAGUGUAAACAUAAGCUCAACAACAUUUCCAUUAUCUUUCCUUGCAAUGCUGAAUCCAUUUAGAUAUCCAGAAGUAUACAAUGAACGGCUUGGUAAACCAAUAAACACUUGACCAUUCCAUGGACCUGAGCGCCAGUAAGGUUUUGUUUGGUUCCAUACAAACACUUCAGGAGCGUUGAGACGCUCGAGGCUAAAAGAGAAGUUUCCAUAAGCUGGAUCUGAAGGAGUUUUCCAAGAAGUGAGUUUUACUUUUUCCCCUGUUUUUUGGUUGGUGCUAAUUGUCAUAUUUAGGAGGACUGCAUCAGAUGGAUGUUUGAAACUCUCCCAUAUUAUCUUGCCUGUUAUUACAGAUAUAAUUAUUUAAUAGUAUUGUUUGUGAUUAAUUAGUUUUUUUGGUAACAAAGAGGGUCUAAGCCCAAUAAGUUAGUUUAAUAGCGUAUUCUCUAUAUAUAUGAAUCAUGCAUUCUAAUAUGAUGUAAUGUAAACAUGCAUUCUCAGUAAUCAAUAAGAUUUCUAUUUUACUUUCUAAUUAAUUAUAUUUCUAGUACCUGUAGUGUCUUCCUGCAAGACGAGGUUUCCAGUAUUUUGAAUAUAAGCUGUGACAUUAAAAUUUGAUGCAAAAUUGGAGACAUUUGAGGACCAUAUAACAUGUUUUUGUCCAUUCAGUACUACAAGGUUUGUGUUGUCAUCAGACAUGGUGAUAACCCCAGAAGAAUCUUGUAGUGGUUUUUCUCUAUUGGCUACCCAUAUUAUGUUGGAUUGAUUGAGAUACCAGAUUCCUACGUAGCGAUUUGUUGUGUUCAUUGGGCUGAAGAAUCCAAGCUUGAAUGCAUCAUCAUUUGAGCUUAUAGUUUCAGAAUCUUUGAUCAAUUUAGAAGAUGUAAUUGUGUACAUAGAAGCACUACCAAUUUUGAUCAUGUAAAGGAUUAAAAGAGUGAAUAAAAUAUGUAACAUGUUUAGAUUCAUUCACUAUAUAUUUCAUGGUCUGGUUAUUAUAUGCACAUAGGGAGGGGACUAUAGUUACCUGUUUACUUUUUUCUUUGACUUUUCUAUUCAGAAGUUGUGAUAGCACAAGCUACGUCUAUUUGUCCACACCUCUUUUUCUUUUUCUUUCCGUGUCUUUGAAUUUAAUUCUCUGUUCAGUUUUGACUAAAACUUUUGGAGGACUAAAAGUUGAAGGAAAAUUUUAGAGGGACUAAAACGAAAAGUGGGUAUAUUUAUAGGGACCAAAAACAUAUUUAACCCAAAAAAGAAAGCAAAAAUAUCAAAAGGAAUACAAUUCAACCUAAGGUCGUUUGUACACAAUUGUGAAAGGUUUCCAUUAUUAUAAUCAGGAAAACUAAUAAUUCAACAGACUAGAAGUUGUAAAGGUCAAUACAUAAACUCACCUGUGGAAGAGACUAAUUUUUCUCGAAUUGGUAGGCAGCAUUAAUCAACUAUGGUGCUGGUGAAUUUCUUAUCAUCUGAAUAUUCAAGGGUUAUGCAUGUCAUUCAAACAUGUUCCCUCUAGAGAACUAUAUGUAAUUUCCAAAAACUAUAUGUAAUUCUUAGUACAUUCUUUUUCUAUAUGUAAUUCUUAGUACAUUCUUUUUUCAGAGGAUUUUAGUAUAAUAGUUUUGUUUAAAAAAAAAAAACGAAAAACAAAUUGUUUUAAUAAUUUUAUAAGAAAAAACUUGAAUAAACUCGUCGUUUUGUAGAUGAAACGUAGAAGUCGCCUUAACAAUAAUCAACAUUAAUAUUGUGACCGAUAAAAGAAUCAUAUCAUCAUUUCAAAUAUGCCAAGAUAAUCUGAGUUUCUCUUGCUUGUGGCAUGUCUGUUUACAUUUCUACAUAACAAUAAACCCAUUCAAAACUCUAAGCUUUAGAAUGUAUUAAUCAAUCUACAAAUUGAACUAGUGAUGAAGAUAAAGAAAUGCUUAGGAUGCUCAGAGAAAAAACAAAAAGCCCAUCAUAUAUAUGAUGAUAGUGAAAAAAUGUACAAGGGAAGGUGUUUACACCUGCAGCUAGACUACUUCACACACCGAUAUCUUCUUCUGCAAGCAAUCUCUUGGUAUAUAUCAUCUUGUUUUGCAUCAGUGAAUCAGGCUAAUCGACACAUCUAACUCAAUAUCCCCCGAAGAUUUCUCAAUCGUAAGAUCUGUUGGCACAGACUGAUACAAAACCGCAGUUUGAGCAGUGAACCUAACAUGCAUCAUAGUCGCAUUUGUAUGUGGUGAAAAGAUUGGUUAAACCACAUUUCUUGCUGGUGGUUGAUCCUCAUAACCCAUUGAGACCAACAUAGAAUCAUAGUAUAGUAAUACUUGAACUAGGAGUAAUCAAAGUGAACAUAUUGGUGAUUUCCAACAGUUAACUUGAAGUUGUAAAUUGCAGCAUCUUCUACACAAUAUUACAAGGUUUUGGCUUUACCGAUAGCAACCAACCCUCUUUUCUUCCUCCUCUCAUCCGGUACAGAACUCAUAUUUUGAACAUUAUUGUUAGAUGUAGCAUACUCUUGGAAAAAUGAUGGAUCAUGCUUCAUCAAUUUUAUGAUGAACAAGAUUUGUCAAUGACAGUUGUAUAUAUCAUUAAAUUCUUGAGAGUCAUGCUUCAUUCCAUCAUAUGUAUUCUAUCUGCCUUGCAAGCUUGUGACAGUGACACUGUUAUUCGAGUCGUUAUUUUGUUGACCUGAGUCUGCUCUAUGCUCAGUCUGACUUAGAAGGAAUGCAGGUUGAGAUGGAUGAGGAAGUUUAACAAUCUCACUAUUAAGCAUUGAAACAACUGUGGCCAUAGUAGGUCUCUCCUUUGCAAUUUCUUGCACACAAAGAAGUCCAAUGUGUAUGCAUCUCAAAAUGUUACCCACAUAAUCAGCAUUACAUAUUUCUUGAUCUAUCAAAGCUACAACCUCAUCUUCAUUCCAUAGUUUCCAUGUCUUUAAAAAACCAAAAAAAAAAAAACAAGAAAAAUUAAGACUUACAUAAUAUUGAGCUGUAAUAUGAAUCUAUGGGCGAAAAUUUAAUAAGACUUACAUAUCCUAAGAGAGUGAGUGCUUGAUGAUUAUAGAAACUUGUAUUUUUCCUACCACUUAUUAUCUCCAAGAGCAAAACCCCAAAACUAAAUACAUCUGAUUUCUCUGAAAACAGCCCUUCCAUUGCAUAUUCCGGAGACAUGUAUCCACUGCAUUUAAAUUUCAUUAUCAAAUUAAAUAUAUAUUAUGGCUCUUUAAUUGCAAUGUUAUAAGGACGUGUAUAUAAAGAUAAAACAUGCUUACUAUGUUCCCACAAUCCUUCUUGUAUUUCCCUCGUUUUCGCUACCUCCGAAGAUUCUAGCCAUGCCAAAGUCGGAUAUUUUUGGAUUCAGUUCUCCAUCCAACAAAAUAUUACUCGGCUUUAGGUCUCUAUGUAUUAUUCUUAAUCUCGAAUCUCUAUGAAGAUAAAGCAGUCCGCGAGAGAUUCCCUCAAUUAUGUAUAAGCGUUUUUGCCAAUCUAAAAUCUUCUUUUUUAUUGGAUCUGUAGAGACAUCGGUAAGUAACUAAGUAAUCAUAACUAGCAAAAUGCAACUUCUUUCCUUCAGUAUUAAAACCACUUCAAGAAAGAACAAGUUAAGAUGUGCUAACCAAAUAGAUAGAAAUCUAAACUGUUAUUAGGCAUGUACUCAUAGACCAACAUCUUUUCUUCGCCUUCGAUGCAACAGCCCAAAAGUCUAACAAGAUUGCGAUGUUGAAGCUUGGAAAUCACAAUCACUUCAUUCAUAAAUUCUUCUAGCCCCUGUCCUGAAGCCUUUGAAAGUCUUUUCACUGCUAUUUCCAGUCCAUCUUGUAAUUCUCCCUGAUAUAUUUUUCAGGAAAUAUGAGAACAUAUAAUACAAAAUAUUAAUCAAAGAUAAAGACUUCCCAUGACUUAGUUUACCUUGUACGCUGAACCAAAACCACCUUGGCCAAUCUUAUUUGGUGAACCAAAAUUAUUUGUUGCAGUUGAAAUUUUCUGAAACUCAAAUAAAGGAAGGUCCUCAAUUUUAACUUGUUUCACAUUUCCAAUAAGACUUGCAUUUCGGUUUUCUGGAUGGAUUUGCCUUGUGCUCGACACCAACAUCUUUUCUAUUUUCCUUCUUGCUGAUUUCAAUUAUAAUCCCAAAUUCAUAAUCAAAAGAAUAAAUAAACAGAAACGCAAACAUUUUAUUAUUAUUAUAAGGUUGCAGGCAUAGGUUAACAUAUACUUGAUUUGUCUUAUAAUGACUGCCAUAUUUGCAAAACUAAUUAUCUCAUGGUCAGUGUUAGGAACACUCUUUUCUAAUACUUAUUGAGUGAAAUCAAUGUUGGUCUCACACUUUGGAAAUGGACUCCAUAUAAAAUAGUGAUUUCACCCAAUAAAAAGUUAAUUUUAAAAAUAUAGUGUUUCUAGCACUUCACUUCUUUGAUUUCAAAAUGAAAUGUUUAAUCUUGAUGUAAAAGUUGAGAUUUGCAAUUUUUAAAAUCGCAUCAACGGAUAAUUCAAAUCCAAAUUGGACACACUUCUAAUUAAGUAAGAUCAUUUUGAAGGAUGCUUCUUUAUUUCUUCAAUUAAAAAUAGCUUUACACAUGUUACCUAUUAGUUUAAUUAAUAAUUAUAAGUAAGCAAAUAAUUAAGAAAACGUGAAAGUUCUAGAGAUACCUGAAUAUUUUGAAGCCCAUGACCAUAAGAAAUAGGAUGCAGUAGCAAAAAUAAUUGCUCCCACUACCCCCAUUGAUAUGAUGAUUUUUGUAAAAUUUCUCUUCCCAUCUCUAUCUGUAGCUGUUAACAUAAUUUGGAUCACAAUAUUGUAAUUUGACUAGAACUAUACUUCUUUAAUAAUUAAUAAAUUCACCACAGAAAAAAAAAAAUAGCUAUGAACUAUGAAUACUCACAAAGUUCUGAAUACGCUUGGCGUAUGUAAAGAUCAAUGCCUCCACUUGAAAACCUGACUAUGUCGAUUAAAUUACCACUCCAAGUCAAGCACCGGAUUCCAUCAUCAUAUGCAUAAGCAACACAAGAACAAUUAUUCAAGCACUCAGUUCUACAUGCAUCAGCAAAAAGAUAUGAUUGUUGUACAAAAUCUGGUAUCUUUGUCAUCUCUAGUUUCACAAAACCAUCUCCUUUGCCACCUAAUUCACUUCCAUUGUAUUUCACCCUCUCACACUGCAGUGAUGCCUUUCUCGCACACCCACUUAUCCAAUUUUGUCUAUUCCAUUCAUCCACAUUUCGCGGCUCAAAACCUUUCAAACAUGUGCAUAUUGGUGAGUUCGUCAGAUCACAGCUUCCAUUAGGACCACAAAAACCAUAAAUAUCACAUUCAUUUUCUUGAACAACGGUUGUCCCAACUUGAUGCCCAUUCAUCCAUGAAGUGUAAACCAGCUUGCCUUCAGAAUUCACUGUAGCAAUUGCAAAGAAAGAACUGUUCAGCAGUGUAUAGGUAGUCUCAACAAUACUUCCAUUAUCUUUCCUUCCAAUGGAAAGUGUUAGAAUAUCAGAAGCGUACAACAAACGACUUGGUAAGCCAACAAGUACUUGACCAUUCCAUGGACCUGAGCGCCAGUAAGGCUUUGUUUGGUUCCAUACAAACACUUCAGGACUGUUGAGACGCUCAAGGCUAAGAGAGAAGUUUCCAAUAGCUGGAUCCAAAGGAGUUUUCCAAGAAGUGUAUUUUACUUUUUCCCCUGUUCUUUGGUUUGUGCUAAUUAUCAUAUUUGGGAGGAAUGCAUCAGAUGGAUGUUUGAAACUCUCCCAUAUUAUAUUGCCUGUUAUUAGAGAUAUAAUUUGUUAAUAGUUAAUUAAUUGUUUAACCGAUUAUUAAGUUUAACAACGAAUUCUCUAUAUAAACACGCAUUUUCAAUGUGAUUUCUAUUUUACUUUCUACAUGUAUCUCUUAUUGAUGACUUCCAUAUAAAAUUAUAAUACUUGUAAGUUAACUAGUAAUAAGAAACUAUAAAUUAACUACUAACUAAUCAUAUUUCUAAUACCUGUAGUGUCUUCCUGCAAGAUGAGGUUUCCAGUAUUUUGAAGCUGAGCAGUGACAUUAGAAUUUGAGGAUGCCAAAUUACUUGAGACAUUUGAUGACCAUAUAACAUGUUUGUGUCUAUUCAGUACUACAAGGUUUGUGUUGUCAUCAGAUAUGGUGAUAACUCCAGAUGAAUCUUGUAUUGGUUUUUCUCUGUUGGCAACCCAUAUGAUGUUGGAUUGAUUGAGAUACCAGAUUCCUACGUAGCGAUUUGUUGUGUUCACUGGGCUGAAGAAUCCAAGCUUGAAUGCAUCAUCACUUGAGCUUAUAGUUUCAGAAUAUUUGAUCAAUUGAGAAGAUGUAAUUGUGGACAUAGAAGCACAACCAAUUUUGAUCAUGUAAAGAGUUGAAAUAAAGAAUAAAAUAUGUAACAUGUUUACUUGCACAAGGAGUCCCAACAUGUUUAGAUUCAUUCACUAUAUAUUUCUUGGUCUCGUUAUUAUAUGCACAUAGGGUAGGGAGGUCAUUAUAGUUGAAUAUUACAUUUUUUCUUUGACAUUUCUAAUCAGAUUGUUGGAAUAGCAACAGCUACAUCAUUUUUUUCCACACCUAUAUUUCUUUUUCUUGCCUUGUCUUUGAAUUUAAUUCUCAAUUUUAUUUUUUUUACAAAGCUAAUCAAACAACAAAAAGCAAAAGACAGAAAAAAGAGAAAAUGAACUAGAUCCUCAUGAAGAGGGAUCUCGUAGCGUCCGCCCUGAGAAGGGGAAGCAGAUCCUGAGGAGAAGUAUGGACUGUGAACUUAGCAUUUGUCAAAGCUCCCAGCUUAGCCAUGAAAUCCGCAUAUUGGUUUCCUUCUCUAAGAGUAUGAUGGAUAGAGAAAUUUCUGGUAGCCAGAAGGUCCUUUAUAUCCUAAAUAAGAACAUCAUAGAUGUGGAACUGCGAGGUAUUACUGGAGAUGAGAUUGAUGGAGAGAAGGGAGUCCGAGUAACACACCAAUUCAUCAAUUUUCAUGUUAAUCGCCAUCUUGAGCCUCUGGUGAAGAGCAGAAAAACAAAAUGUCUUGCGAGUUGUAGAUGUAGCCUGAGAAACCUAAGAGGUAGUUGCCUGAAUUGUUGCGGAUAACACCUCCAAAACCUUCCCGGCUUGGGUUUCCGAUAGAGCUGCCAUCGACAUUUAGAAUGGUACAACCAAAGCCAUUGUUGUUCCAUUGCACAAACCAGAUAGAAGAAGAAGCUUAAGUAACAUUUUGGAGGCACUAACGAAUGAUAUCAGCUGAGUUGUUAAUAUUGAUGCUUAGACGAGUUAAAGACCAAGUUUCAUUACCAAGGUACAUCAAGUUUCGAUGCCUCCAUGUCCACCACAACCCAGCCAGGAAAAGAGUGGAACGAGAACUGUUUGCUCCCUCUUUGAUCCAGCCAUGCGCCGAAAAAGAUUGGCUUCGUGGAAGAACAAACUUCUCAAUAAAAUUUAAUUCUCAAUCAAGGUUUAACUAAAAAAGAACUAAAAUAAACAAGGGAAAUGUUAAUCAGUGCCCCUGGUUAAGGAUACUAAAAAAGGAAUUAAAGAUUGUGUAAUUAAUCCAUCAAAAAAAAGUUUCCUUUUUUAAUAAUAACUUCCUUUUUUUAUAUCCUUUUUUGGUUAGCAUGACCCAAAAACAAUAGAUAACUUAAUCACUGAAUUGAAUAACUUAAUCACUUAAAUGGAUAAAUUUAAAAUGUCGAGGAAACUUCACGAUUUAGCGUAAACUGGAUUUUUUUUGUUCCAUUCUUUAAACCAUUUCAUGUUAGCAAAUGUUCAAUCAUGAUUUCAUUUCUGAGCACGAUUUACAUCAUCAUUCAUUAUUAUUCUACGGUGUAUUUCCUAUAUGCAUAUAAUGAUGACAAUUUACAUCAUCGUUUAAAACUGAGUGAUUUUAAAAUAGGGGGUCAAUUUUGUGAGUGAAUAGGGGUAUUAUGAUGAAUGCUUUAUGUUGAUGUGGGGUUGUUCUCUGGUUACAGCAUUGGAGAUGAUGUUGAGUCUAUUAGUAUUUCUCACCCUCAGUAUGUUGACGACACUGUUAUUAUGGGAGAAAAGAGUUGGACAAACAUCAGAGCCUUGAAAACAAACCUCAUUCUCUUUGAAGUCAUUUCGGAACUGAAAGUCAAUUUUAAUAAAACCUUGUAAUAUGGGUGAAUGUGCCUGACUCGUGGUUGACAGAAGCAUCGACAUAUUUCAAUUGUAAAAUUAGUCAUAUUCUUUUUGUGUAUCUAGGACUGCCAAUAGGUGGUGAUCACGAUCAUCUCGGUUUUUGGCAGCGCUGGUUGAUCCUAAUAAAAAAGAUUGUCGGGAUGGAAAAGUACAUAUUUGUCCUUGGGUUUUCAUUUCAUUCUUCUUAAAUGUCUUAUCAUCGCUCUUGGACUACUUGUUUUCCUUCUUCAAAGCUCCCACGAUUAUAAUCUCGUCAAGUUAAUCUAUUUGAAAAAGCGUUUCUUUUCGGGGGUGGGGGAGGGUGAAGAUUCUAGGAAAGUUCCUUGGAUUAAAUAAGAUUAUAUAUGUUUGGAUAAGGAGGAUUAGAGAAUUUAAUAUGGCCUUGUUAUGAAAGUGUUGUUAGAGAAUGCAGGCAGAGCAGUUGAGAUUUUGGUAUAAGGUUUUAGUAGCUAUGUAAGGUGAAGGAGGGCGUCGAUCAUGAUCUAGGUGGUUGAGGGAUAUCAUCGUCAUUCGCAGAGGUGUAAGGUUGGGUGUCGGGAGUUGGUUUGAUGAGAGUUUGGUGUUGUUAUACCCUGUUUUUUGACCUAAAAAUACUGGGCCCAAUUUCAUUUCAAACUUUGUCAAAAAUCGAAUUUCAACUGCACAGUUCAAAUUGUCUCUGCUACGCAGUGUUUUCAAUCACAUUUUUACCUAUGUUUUUCAUGCAUAAAACUUUUCAAAAUGUCUUUACUUGUCUUGUAAGUCAUUUCAAAAGUGUCUCUGAAUCAUUACAUUGCUUUUUCUACAGUUUAUUUCAAAAUUUGCAAAAAGUCAUACAGAAGGGUAUUUUGGUCAUUUCCUGCAGUGGGACCCAUUUUCAUCUCUGUGACUGUCUCUGAGUCUUUUCAGAUUGUUUUUUACAUUUCAUCAGUAAACCUUGUUAAGUUCAUUUCAAACUUGCAUCUGAGUCAGUGUCAAGUCAAUUUGAGUCUGUUUAGGUCAAUUUUAGCCCUAGGGGCAUUUUGGUCAUUUCACACAAAAUUUUGGCAUAGAGAGGUUACUUUGAAGUACCUCAUUUAAGCCAUUGGUUCGUUUUAGUCCAUUUUGUCAAUUUUAUUUUAGUUUCACUUUACGUUUUGUCAGGUUGUCAAUUUUAUUCCAAUUUUAUUUUUAUUUUACAUUUUGGUCCCCAAAGAGGUCCAAAAUUGCGUGUCAGUCCAGAAUUUUCUUUUUUUUACAUUUCAGUCCUUUUUGGAUUAUUUGCAGUUUAGUCCUUGAAGUUUUAUUUUUUUGCAGAAAGGUCCAAAGUUCAUUUUUCAGGUCCAAGCCGUGCCAUUUUUUUUACAAGUCCAGGUGUCCUUUUCUUAUUGGUUCCAAUGCACACAUGUCAGCUAUAAAAGCAUUGAGUCAGAAUCAGAAGCAAUGAUCACACGCCAACUCACCAAAACAGAAUUCAACUUUCUCUCUCUUUUCUGUUAGAUCAAAACAGAAUCAACAAAAAGCUUCAAAGAUUCAUCAAUGGCAGAAACCCUAACCACCUCAAUCCACCAUUGAUUUCCACCAAAUCAACACAAAAACACCAAAUUCAACAGAAUUCAACAAAGUUUCUUUGAUUACUCGUUGGUUCUCAGAGAUUCAACACGGAAUCAUCAUCACAGAAUCAAUUUCCUCGCAAUUCAAAGUGCGAGUUCAUCACUGAAACGCGACGAACUCAAGCACUGAUCACGAGGAAACAGUGAAGAGAAAGAAGAGGGAAGAAGCUAGGUUUAAACCGGUGAUGAAGAUGAAGAUUCACGUACAAAAAUACUGAUUUAUUUUCAGUAGCUCAAUAACAAAAUCAUCAAAAACGCAGCAAGCAGAUCACGGUUUUCUGAAGAAAAUCAACCAGAAUCUCCAUUAAAACCUCAGGUAUAACUUCAAACACCUCGUUUUUCUCAUAAAGAAGUUCAAUCACUGGAAAACGAUGUAGAACUUAGUGAUAAAAAACGUUUUGGUUUAAGAAAAUUCGAAAACCAAAAAACACCUUUGAAACCGAAACUGAAAUCAAUAAGAUCUACAUCGUAAACAAAAAACGUUUCCUCUCAGUUUUUCUUCAUCAAGAACAGUGGCGAGACCAACGUGAUGUGGAUUUGUACGAAUCAAAAUGUUUCAAUUCAAAAAAGAUAAAAAAACCUCAAAACAGUUUCACGUCGCGUCAAAGUUCUAGAUCCACAUCGCUUAAAGCCUUUGUUCACUUCAUCUCUUUCGAAAAACAUCAAUCCAAGUGAAUCAACGAAGAUCUGUGCCAAAUCCAUAGAAUCUUAUCAAAAAAAAACGAAAACUCAACUUUCUGAAACCGUAAAAGAAAAUAUCAGAUCUGCGUUGAUUCACGUUUCAAAUAUGAAAACAGAUUACGGAUUCGUGUUUAGAAGAAGGAGGCGAAGGAUUUGGUGCAAGUUUGGUUGGUUUCUGGGCGCUGGUUCACCGGAGAAGAUGAAGCUUCCGGCGAACCACCUAGGUUUCCGCCGUGGCUUCAUCAACUCCGGUGAGGAAGUCUGAUGAGAGGUGAGAGAUGAGAGAGAAGCUCUGAGUGUAGAGAGAGAAAGGGGAGUGAAAAUGAAUUAAACCGGUGCUAGUUCCCUUUUAUAGACAACUAAACCGGACCGGUUCAAGACCGGUCCAAUCCCUUCGAUCCUGAGCGUUGGAUCUAGGGUUUCCUUCCCUGGAUCAAUCCAACGCUCCCUGUGCAUCCGGAUCUCUUAGUGAUUGGGCUUUGGUUUGGGCUUUUGUUUCUUUACGUUUCUGUGUGUUAUCUGCUACUUGCACCACUUCACUGUGCUUCCUGCACCCCUGCUUGCUCCAAAUUUUUACCAUGAAAUCCGAGGAAAUUACCACGUAAUUUUUACUACUUUCUUGAUAAUUUUUAGUGGUAUUUCGCUUGGAAAAGACUGGUAAAAACAUAUGUGUUGUUUUGUUAGGGUUUUUACCACUUUAAGUCAUUUUUCUCGCAUUUCUACCCGUUACUUCAUGUGCAUAAUGUUCGUGUUCGUCAUGUUUGAUUUGCAUACCAUUCCAUGUGAACUUUGCUACUGUUUGCUAUGUGUAUGUCACUGUUUUGAUGUGUUGGGUCUUAUUUUAGCUUCAUGCGCAUUAUUCAUCACAUGUUUCCGGCUUAUUUUCAUCGUCACUUUACCGUCUUAUGCCAUACUUUCUUCUAUCGCUUCAUGCCAUAUUCUUUUUUACUAUUUUGCUACUAACGUUUCCUUUCAUGUUGAUCACUUCAUAGCACUUCAUUAUCUUCACUAUUGUAUCCGUUAGUUUAGUUUUCCCUUUUUACAAAUUGUAAUUCAUUCGGUGAUGUAAUAUUUUACCAUUUGGUUUGUAGCUUGGCAAAGGGGCCAUAGAAUGUAUUUAGGCAAUGUUGUAAUAUGGACUAUGGACACUAUGGCGCACCGACACGCACACACUCACUUUAGAUGUAUGCAUAGGAUUGUAUUGUUAAAUAAGCGUUUAGGUUUUAAACACUUAGAGAAAAUCCAUCUUUUUUCAAAAAAAAAAACAAUUGAACUUCACUUCAAAAAUUUUCAUAAUAAAUAUGAAGUCAACACUUCAUUUUUCUUCUUUCUUUUUUCUUAAGAAAAAUUCAAUUCAUCUUAAUCAUUUAGACUUUCUUUUUAAUCACUAAUCAAACCUCACUUUUUUUUGCUAAAUCUAAUGCCCUUGAGGCCUCUCAUCUCUAUUCUUCAAAAUCUCUUUUCAAACUUAAAAUCAACCAACAAAAACAAAAACCAUUUUUUUGAGAAUGAACUACGAUCGGUUUUGAUCCCUUAAAAGGGUACGUAGGCAAUGAGUCAAAACUCAUCCAAGCCGAAACAAAAAAAUCAAAUUCUACUUCUUCUCACCCCCACUCUUCACUAAUCAUACCUUCCUUUUUACAAAUAAGCAAUAAAACUAAAGCGUAGAAAUAAACUCAGGAGAGCGGUUCUUAUGGAAUACCAUAAUCGCUCCGGAUGCCUAACACCUUCCCGUAGCGAAAACGACCCCCGAACUUAGAAUCUAAGGGUUUUUCUCAAUUUUGCCCUUCCCAAGAAAAAAAUAGAGAAUAUCAACGGUCAAAAGGUUCAAGUCCAAUUAAUGGCUUGGCACCCCAAAACCAUGAUAACAGGUGUCUUUGUGUGUGUGCGCGCACGCGCGUGUUGUCGGUGAUGGGACCAAGUCAUUAUUUUGGUCGGACCAGUGGUUACAGAGAAGUGACGAUAGUUGAGAUGUAUACAUUAGGGUUGAAUGAUGGUGAGGAUGGUUCGAAGAGGCAGCAUAGGCUUUUGGCAUGGAAGGAGAAGCAAAUUAGGGAGUGUAUAGUAUGUUGACUAAUAUUUUCUUGGAGGAUGGUGUUGAAGACAAGUGGGACUGGAGUCUCGAUCUAGGUAUAGGGUACUCCGUCCGAGGAGCCUAUCAUUUGAUGUUUUCUAUGGUGCAAAUUGGUAGGUCGGAAUACUAUGACACGAUGUGGCAUAAAGAAACACAUCUGAAGGUCUUUUUAAUUGCUUGGUGGUUAUUGCUAUGAAAAAUAACUUGAUUCAUCGUCAUUUUUCAUAGCAACUCCAUGACGAUGAAUCAAGUUAUUUUUCAUAUUCAAAUUAACUCCAAUGGUCUUUUUUUCUUAACGGCACAGGUUAAUCAAUCCCAAAAUAGAAAUAUUUCAUUAAUAUUUGUGCAUUUAACUAAAUAAAAUAUAAAAAAUUAAAUGCAAUGCACGAAUUCCAACAAAAAGUUUCUGCAUUUAACUUAUUAACUUGAUCCUCAAAGGCACAAGUUAGCAUUUCCCAUAUUUAAAACGUCAAUGGUAUUUAGUCUAAAAUUUGUCUUUUAAAAUCACUUUUAAAUAUUACUUUUUUAAUUUAUUGUGAAUAAAAUUGUUGUUAAAUAUAUAGAAGGAUUAAUUAUGGUUCUACUCCUUCGUUCUAUAUUCACUUAAUCACAAAAUUGGUCCUCCCAUUUUAAGAUCAUUCAGCUUUAAUUCCUCUUUCAGGUUUUUAAACUUAGAAAUAUCGAUCAUAUCAUAUUUGAAUUAAUGUUUUUAGAGAAUUUUAUGAUAAUUUUAAUGUUGGUGAUAAUUUUACGAACCAAGUUUCCUGCUGCAAAGUUUCUAUGUUGUUUCACGCUUGUAACAUAUCGUGGUCGUUGAUUUAAGAUCGAACGAUUCAGAUUUUAAAUUCAGUUCAUAUGAUAAAACAAUCUCAAACAUUCAUUUAGAUCAAACGGCGGGAAGACGCAGUUACAGUUACAGCUAGAAAUCCAAACCGUAAUUUUACAUGUCGUACCACACAUCAUUUAAAAUAUUUCGCAUCACAUUUCUGAGUACAAAAACCUUUCAAACAUAUUACCGGAGUUUACAAAUCAUAGCUUUCAUUAGGACCACAAAAACCAUAAACAUCACAAUUAUAUUUUGCUGAAUAGCUUGUUUCUCAACUUGAUACCUAUUGAUGCAUGUAGUGACCACCAACUUGCCUUCAAAACUCACCACAAUGGUUAAAAAAAAAAAAUUAUUGUUGUUUUGACAAUUUUUAUUGUUAAAUAAGCUUCUUUGUAGUUGCUUAAGUUUUCACUUUAAUUUGCCCCUGCAUAUUAAUUUAUCUAUUUGUAGUGUAGUGUCUUUAAGCAAAACAAGAUUUCCUUUAUUUUGAAAUUGAAGAGUGACAAUAGAAUUUGACGAUUCCAAGUUACUUGUGAGUUGAGACAUUUUGAAUAGAUCCAACCACGUCAUUUUUUCACAACUAUUUCUCUUUUGACAUAAUUUAGAUUAAAUGCAGUUCUUAUACUUUUUUAAAUCAAAAAUAAAAGAAUAGUCUCUCUUUGUGAAAGGAAUAGCGAAAACAAGGACAAAACUUAGGUAUAAUUUUUUAGGUAUUUUCCGUAUGGUUCUUAGCAAUUGCAGUUAAAGUGUCUAAAAACAUUGCACCUAAAGAAUUGUACCUAAAUUUUUCCCCAAAAACAAUACCAACUGCAGCUAAUUAAUUUUGUCCUUUUUCUUUACUCUCUCUUUCAGCUAAUUAAUAUUUAUCUGGCUGGACCGCGCACUCCCGGCUGAGUCAGUCGAUGGAGGUCGAUACUCAACACCAUCCACCCUCUAUGUGUCUCUGUAGUUGAGUUGACGGUUGAUUUGAUCCAGCUGACCCUUCAACCUGGAGAGGGUGACAUCAGUACGAAUCCUGAACAGAUGGUAUGUUUUCCACCCAUUGUAGUAAACUGCAGCUACCUUGGUUUUCGGAUCAAAGACCGAGUUUUCCAUAGUUUUUUUAUGUGUGGUUUAUUGAUUAUGAAAACAGGGACACCUAUUUAUAGAGGUUUAUGGGCGUCCUGGACCACAGAAACUGAACUGUCGGUGCAAUGUGGAUCAGGAAAAAAAAAUCAUGUUUUAAACUUUUCGGAUUAUAUAAUUCAAAAUGUUCAUCACCCUACAUAAGGUACGAAGUUUCUCUCAAUUGGUAGCUCCAUAAAUGCCUCCUGACCCUUCCAUUAUUAUAAAUGGAAAACUAAUAAUUCAACGGAUUUGAAGUUCUAAACGUCAUUACAUACACAUGACAAAAAAAAUUCGUCAAGAGUAAACAUGACAAUUUGAAGAGGAAUUUAAGUUUUAUUAGUAAAAAAAACAAGUGAAUGAAUAAACUCACAGGUGGAAGAAACUAUUUUUUCUCGAAUUGGUAGGCAGCACUAAUCAACUGCUGGUGAAUUUCUUAGCAUCUGAAUAUUCAGACAUGUUCCCUCUAGAGAACUAUAUGUAAUUUCCAAAACCUAUAUGUAAUUUCUUAGUAUAUUCUCAUUUUUUUAGAAGAUUUUAAUAUAUUUUUAGUUUUGCUCAAAAAAAAUAAGUAAAAACAAAUUUUUUCAAUUAUUUUUUAAGAAAAACUUGAAUAAACUCGUCCUUUUGUAGACGUGCCGUGGAAGUCGCCUUAACAACAAUCAACAAUAAUAUUGGGACCGAUAACAGAAUCACAUCAUUUCAAAUAUGGCAAACUCGCAAAAGACAUGAAAAAUAUGUCAAAAUUUAACAAAAAAAGAACAAAUAAUAAUAAUAACAAUUAGAAAAAUGGAAAGAUAAUCUGAGAUUGUCUUGCUUGUGGCAUGUCUGUUUACAUUUCUACAUAACAAUAAACCCUUUCAGAACUGUUAAAAUAUCCAACAAAAAAAUCUCAUAUAUUUGAUGAUAAUGAAAAAAUGUACAAGGGAAGGUGUUUAUACCUCUAAAGCUAGCUAACUAACUUUUGAACUUCUCUAACUAACUCCAAUUUGGUAUGCUGACUAAGCAUAACAAAAUUGGAUUAGAUGAAAGCUAAACUACCCUAAUAUACACAACAUACUAACCAUAUUGUGAGAGUUAACUUAAAAUCAGAAAUCUGGAGUAUCGUGCCACGAUGGAGAAGCAUCGCGCCACGAUGGUUGAAGCAAGAUUCCUGGGAAGACACUGGAUUUUUCGUGCCACGAUGAAGCCUCAUCGCGCCACGAUGGUCGCGCUGAAGAUAAAAAUAAAACGUAUUUUCAGUUAGAUUUGUUUCAGUUUUUUUUGGGUUUACUUUCCACUAUAAAUACAGCCUUGUAUCAGAUGAUAAAAGUGUGUAGAAAAACAAGGUUUAGACCAACAAACAAACUAGGGUUUAUAGAGAAUCUCUCUUGGCAACAACUCUAGGGUUGGGAUUGUUUUGAUUCACAUUGAACAAAACACUAUUAGGAUUGAGUCUCUUGGUCACGGGAAGAGGCUGGGACUUUGGUAGAAUUAGGUUUGAAGACUGAUUCUUGAAACUCAUUAUCUCUUUGUAAAGAAACUCAUUCAUUAUAGUGGAUCGGAGAGCUGCUCUCUCCCCCAGACUAGGUCAUCAUUAGACCGAACUGGGUAAACAAAUAUCUUGUGUUCUUUCUCUCUCUCUUCCUUUUAUCUCUUGCUGUUUUUUUGUUUGGAUUAUUUGCUACCCGCUUGAUUUGAUUACUUGGUAUUAAUUUGCUCUACGCAUCAAGUUUUAUUGGUGUGGUUUUCUCAACGAAUUCACAACAAUUGGCGCCCACCGUGGGGCAAAGGUCAAGUCAAUAACCAGGUAUCAUGGGUUCGAAGUGGGAUAUUGAAAAGUUCACCGGUAGUAACGACUUCGGGUUGUGGAAGGUGAAGAUGAUGGCAAUUUUAAUUCAACAAAAGUGUGUUGAAGCUUUGAAGGGAGAAGCACAGAUGUCUGCACAUCUGACACCUGCUGAGAAGACGGAGAUGAAUGAUAAGGCGGUCAGCGCUAUCAUUCUGUGUCUUGGGGAUAAGGUGUUGAAAGAAGUAUCAAGGGAGGCUACUGCUGUGUCUAUGUGGAAUAAGCUUGAUUCAUUAUACAUGACCAAGUCUUUGGCACAUAGGCAAUUUCUGAAACAACAACUCUACUUUUAUCGUAUGGUGGAGUCAAAACCUAUAAUGGAGCAACUGACGGAGUUCAAUAAGAUUAUUGAUGAUUUGGCGAACAUAGAUGUUAAUCUGGAAGACGAGGAUAAAGCCUUACACCUACUGUGUGCUUUACCCAGGUCCUUUGAGAAUUUCAAGGAUACUAUGCUUUAUGGCAAAGAGGGCACUAUCACUUUGGAGGAAGUUUAAGCAGCUUUGAGAACCAAAGAGUUAACCAAGUUCAAAGAGUUGAAGGUUGAUGAUAGUGGAGAAGGCUUGAAUGUCUCAAGGGGGAGAAGUCAAAACAGAGGAAAAGGGAAAGGCAAGAAUUCCAGGUCAAAGUCUAGGUCGAAGGGUGAUGGCAAUAAAACACAGUACAAAUGUUUUAUUUGUCAUAAUCCAGGUCACUUCAAGAAGGAUUGUCCGGAGAGAAAGGACAAUGGAGGUGGAAAUUCAUCCGUUCAGAUUGCAAGCAAAGAUGAAGGUUAUGAGAGUGCUGGAGCACUAACUGUGACAAGUUGGGAACCUGAAAAGAGCUGGGUCUUGGACUCUGGGUGCUCUUAUCACAUUUGUCCAAGAAAGGAGUACUUUGAAACGUUAGAGCUGAAAGAAGGUGGAGUAGUUCGCCUUGGUAAUAAUAAGGCUUGUAAAAUUCAAGGUAUGGGUACUAUCCGACUCAAAAUGUUUGAUGAUCGUGAUUUCCUUUUGAAGAAUGUGAGGUAUAUUCCUAAACUUAGGAGAAAUUUAAUAUCCGUAAGCAUGUUUGAUGGUCUAGGCUAUUGCACUAGAAUUGAACGUGGUGUGAUGAGAAUUUCUCAUGGUGCAUUGGUUAUGGCUAAAGGGUCUAAAAUACAUGGUUUAUAUAUUUUAGAAGGUUCUACCGUAAUAGCAAAUGCAUCGGUUGCUAGUGUUGACACUCUGGACAUAACUAAACUUUGGCAUUUGAGGUUAGGUCAUGUCAGUGAGAGAGGUUUGGUGGAGCUAGCUAAACAAGGUUUGCUAGGGAAUGAAAAAUUGAACAAGCUAGAUUUCUGUGAUAACUGCACAUUAGGCAAACAACACAAGGUGAAGUUUGGAGUGGGGGUGCAUAAAUCUAGUAGGCCUUUUGAGUAUGUUCAUUCGGAUCUUUGGGGUCCAGCAUCGACGAAGACUCAUGGGGGAGGUUCAUAUUUCAUGUCUAUCAUUGAUGAUUAUUCUAGAAGAGUAUGGGUUUACAUUCUGAAGAAUAAAAGUGAUGCCUUUGAAAAAUUCAAAGAAUGGAAUAUACUUAUAGAAAAUCAGAUUGGUACCAAACUGAAAGUGUUGAGAACUGACAAUGGCUUGGAGUUUGUUUCAGAACAGUUUAAUGAGUUUUGCAGGAAGAAAGGUAUAAAGAGGCAUAGAACCGUGGCAUACACACCUCAACAGAAUGAUCUUGCUGAAAGAAUGAACAGGACUCUGUUGGAGCGUGUGAGGUGUAUGCUGUUGGAAGCAGGAUUGUCCAAGAUUUUCUGGGAAGAGGCUGUUAGUACUGCAGCAUAUUUGAUUAACAGAUGUCCAUCAACAGGGAUAGAUCUCAAGACACCUAUGGAGGUUUGGAGUGGGAGAUCGGCAGACUACUCUAACUUGAAAGUCUUCGGAGCUUUAGCGUUUGCCCAUGUCAGGCAAGACAAACUUGAUGCUAGAGCUGUGAAGUGUAUUUUCAUGGGUUAUCCUGAAGGUGAGAAAGGUUAUAGACUGUGGAAGAUGGAACCUGGAGGAUCAAAAUUUAUUAUAAGCAGGGAUGUUACUUUUGAUGAGACCCGCAUGGGGAUGAAGUGCAAAGACCUGGAUGCAAGCUCGGAAACGGGGACAGAGAAACUUCAGUUUGAGGUGGAGCCUAUCACUGAUGAAAGGGAAGAGGAUGAUCAGACUCCAGUACCUGAUGAGGGUGAAGGCCAAGAGAUAGUGAAUCCUGACUAUCAGCUAGCAAGAGAUAGGGAGAGGAGACAUAUUAAUCCAUCUAAGAGAUACGGUUAUGCUGGCCUUAUUUAUUAUGCUUUGAAUGCGGCUGAAGAAUUGCAAGACUCGGAACCAAAGAACUUCAGGGAAGCAUUAGAAAGCAAUGAAAAUAAGGACUGGCUGAAGGCAAUGAAUGAGGAAAUGCUUUCAUUGGAGAAGAACCAGACUUGGAAACUUGUUUCAUUUCCUGAGAAUCAAAGGGUAGUGGGAAGCAAGUGGGUGUUUAAGAAGAAAGAAGGUAUACCAGGGGUCGAAGCACCAAGGUAUAAGGCAAGACUUGUAGCUAAGGGUUUUACUCAGGUGGAAGGGAUUGAUUACAAUGAAAUCUUUUCACCGCUGGUAAAACAUUGUUCUAUAAGGGUACUUAUGGCGAUUGUUAACAUGUAUGAUCUUGAGUUAGAACAAAUGGAUGUGAAGACCACAUUUCUACAUGGAGAGUUGGAAGAAACUAUCUAUAUGCAACAACCAGAAGGUUUUGUAGAAGACAAUACAAAAGUGUGUUUGUAAUAGAAAUCUUUGUAUGGGUUGAAGCAAAGUCCAAGGCAGUGGUAUCGUCGGUAUGAUGAGUUCCUAGUAAAGGCUGGUUUUGUGAGAAGCAACUAUGAUAGUUGUGUUUACAUGAUGAGAAGGAAUGAGAAAGUCAUUCUCUACCUUCUCCUUUAUGUAGAUGAUAUUCUUAUGGCAAGUUCUGACAUGCAAGAGAUUCAGAAGCUCAAGGAAAGAUUGAAUGAUGAAUUUGAGAUGAAGGAUCUUGGUAAUGCAAAGAAGAUACUUGGUAUGGAUAUCAUAAGGGACCGGAACAAAGGUGAGUUAUUCUUAUCUCAGCAGGGGUACUUGAGGAAAGUGGUGGAGCGGUUCAGAAUGAAAGAUUCUAAAGUCGUUAGCACUCCUCUUGGUCACCACACUAAGCUAUAUAUAAAGCAGUGUCCUCAAUCCGAUGAAGAGAAAAGCAAGAUGGAGGGUACUCCCUAUGCAAGUGGGGUUGGAAGCAUCAUGUAUGGUAUGGUUUGUAGUAGACCAGACUUAUCCUACGCAAUCAGUGUGAUAAGUCGGUUUAUGGCAAAUCCGGAUCAAGUGCACUGGCAAGCUUUGAAGUGGGUUCUGAGAUAUUUGAAUGGAUCUUUGAAAGGUGGCCUAAGGUAUACAAGGUCAUAACCAGGUAGGGAUGCUUUGGAAGGAUAUGUGGAUGCGGACUAUGCAGGUAACGUAGACACUAGAAAAUCUUUGUCAGGUUUUGUGUUUACAUUGUUCUGUACAGCGGUAACUUGGAAGGCAAAUCAACAAUCAGUUGUAGCUCUUUCAACAACUCAAGCAGAGUACACAGCCCUUGUUGAAGGGGUCAAGGAAGCCAUAUGGUUGAAAGGUAUGAUUGGAGAAAUGGGGAUUAGUCAAGGAUGUGUGAAGAUACAUUGUGAUAGCCAAAGUGCCAUUCAUUUGGCAAACCAUCAAGUGUAUCAUGAAAGGACAAAGCACAUUGACAUUCGUUUGCACUUCGUCAGAGACAUGAUUGAGACAAAGGAGAUCAUGGUAGAGAAAGUGGCAUCGGAAGACAAUCCAGCAGACAUGUUCACCAAAUCAUUACCAAGAGCAAAGUUCAAGCAUUGCUUGGACUUGAUAAACUUCACUGAAGCAUAGAUGAAUGAUUGGAGAGAGUAGCAAAGUGAUUGAUGGUUAAACUGGCAUCAUCACUGAUUUGAAGUCAAGGUGGAGAAUUGUGAGAGUUAACUUAAAAUCAGAAAUCUGGAGUAUCGUGCCACGAUGGAGAAGCAUCGCGCCACGAUGGUUGAAGCAAGAUUCUUGGGAAGACACUGGAUUUUUUGUGCCACGAUGAAGCCUCAUCGCGUCACGAUGGUCGCGCUGAAGAUAAAAAUAAAACGUAUUUUCAGUUAGAUUUGUUUCAGUUUUUUAAGGGUUUACUUUCCACUAUAAAUACAGCCUUGUAUCAGAUGAUAAAAGUGUGUAGAAAAACAAGGUUUAGACCAACAAACAAACUAGGGUUUAUAGAGAAUCUCUCUUGGCAACAACUCUAGGGUUGGGAUUGUUUUGAUUCACAUUGAACAAAACACUAUUAGGAUUGAGUCUCUUGGUCACGGGAAGAGGUUGGGACUUGGGUAGAAUUAGGUUUAAAGACUGAUUCUUGAAACUCAUUAUCUCUUUGUAAAGAAACUCAUUCAUUAUAGUGGAUCGGAGAGCUGCUCUCUCCCCCAGACUAGGUCAUCAUUAGACCGAACUAGGUAAACAAAUAUCUUGUGUUCUUUCUCUCUCUCUUCCUUUUAUCUCUUGCUGUUUUUUUGUUUGGAUUAUUUGCUACCCGCUUGAUUUGAUUACUUGGUAUUAAUUUGCUCUACGCAUCAAGUUUUAUUGGUGUGGUUUUCUCAACACAUAUACCUACAGCUAGACUACUUCACAUACCGAUAUCUUCUUCUGCAAGCAAUCUCUGAUUAUCAUCUUGUUUUGCAUCGGUGGAUCCAGCUUGAUCAUGUGAAUCAUUUAACAAUCAAUACAUCUAACUCAAUAUCCCCUGAAGAUUUCUCAAUCUUAAGAUCUGUUGGCACAGACUGAUACAAAACCGCACUUUGAGCAGUGAACCUAACAUGCAUCAUAGUCACAUUCUUAUGUGGUGAAAAGACUGGUUAAACCACAUUUCUUGCUGGUGGUUGAUCCUCAUAACCCAUUGAUACCAACAUAGAGUCAUAGUAUAGUAAUACUUGAAUUAGGAAUGUAUACUGUAAUAUCUCGCUGAAUUUGUAAUAAAUUGUCGUAUCAGUUACAUGUCAGAACAUAAAUAAUUGUUAAAGGGCUUAAUUAUUUAUUGAGAAAUGAGACAUUAGUCUGUAAACAUCUCGCUCAUUAUUCCAAUGAACUCGAAGAAUCUAAUGGUUACAUAUUAACGGAGGGUGAUUGUGUCUUUUCACUUGAGGGGCAUUGUGGUCAUUUGGCACUUAAGAUUUUUUUUUUUUUAAAGUUGGAGAUUUUUUUUUUUCCACUUAAUCUACCUACCUCUUUUACUCUCCAACUCUAGAAUUUUCUUUCCCCUUCUUCCACCUUUUCAAUCGGCCUCCUCUUCUCACCCUCACCCACUCAAUUUUUCAUAAAUUUUUUUUAGAAAUCAUGUAUAUGUGCUUCUAGGAGUGGGAUAAGCAAGAAACAAACUUCAAAUUUCUUCCUCCCUUUAUGUUUAGUCUCAACAGCCCCUUCCUCCAUGAUGUCUUCAAUCUCACUGUAAUCUCAUGGAAAAUAACUUAUAAGCUUGCCUUAGAGCAUUAAAGAAUGGAUCAAUCAUAAGGUGAAUGGUAUGAUCACCUUUUCAUGGAAAUUUAUUUAGUGUAAGCUUUGUUGUAUGUUGAAUGUGUAAUUGAAGAUGAUUAUGUGUAGUAAAGGUAUUUAGAAACAUGGUGUGAAGAAUGAUUAUAAGCUAGGAGCAUUGGUGUGAGAAUUUAGGACUUAAAACGUGUAAGUUGUUUCUAUAACUAUUACAAGUGAUUAUUAAGCAUAACAUGAUGAAAUUUCGUAGAAAUGGGUUAGGAGAUAUGUAUACAUGUUUUCUUUGAUUCUGGAAAAUUAGAAUAGAAAUUGAAUUGUUUAGAGGGCAUAAGCUGUCAGUUAAGUUGUUUUGAGCAAAAUGUCUUAAAUGACUAAGUUGUGGUUUAAGCUGCUGUAUAAGUGGUUCGUGGCUCUGAGUAUAUAUGUUGGAACAUCUUUGUUAAAGGCUGGGUCGAAACUAAUUUGAUAGAAGCCAUAAGCUGCUAAUUAAGCUUUUUGGAAGUGCUUAAAUAGUCAAACGGCGUACUUCUGGUGCAAGGACUGAAAUGGAAAUUUUCGUGUAUGCUGGUUGAUGAAGUGAGAGUACGUUACAGAUGAGUUUUGUUUUGGGAAGAGCAAGAUCUAUAAGCCAAGACAUAAGCUAUUUUGGAAAAUGGAUUAUGGAUUUUUGGAGCUAGCAAAAGCUGCAAAUUGUGGAUAAGCUGCUUGAAAUUUCGGGACUAAUGCCAAGGUGAGUUCCUUUAGCUUAGAACCCACCUUUGGGAAUGGAUCAUGAUUAUGUUAGUUUAAUGAGAUAACAUGAAUAAUUAGACCAUUUUUAUGAUUUCUUGUCUUUUGUGCAAGCAUGACUACUAUGCCAUAUGAAUGAUACUUUUGAAACAGAAUAGAUAUGAGAUAGUAGAAUGAUUAUUUCUGAACUAGGUACAAUUAUUAGUUAUUCUAAAAUCUCUUUUAUGUUAAUAAGUAUGUUUAUGUUAGCAUAAUUGUUGGAGGGAAAUUUUAUCAAGACAAUUGAUAUGUAUAAUUAUGGUAAUGAUUUGAAAUACAGUCUGAGUAAUAUGCUCACAGUGAAUUAUAGAAAGUCACAGAAAAAUGGAAAUGAGUAGAAAAACUUGAAAUGAGUAACAUGAUCAUAGAAAAAUAAAUAAAUAAAUAAAUAAUAAAUUUGAUAAAAUCUCCGUUUGCUACAACGAAGAGAUAAUGUAGCCUAUGAGGAACGGCUCAUAGUAACGAAUGUGAAACUCCGUUUGCUACAACGAAGAGAUAAUGUAGCCUAUGAGGAACGGCUCAUAGUAACGAAUGUGAAACUCCGUUUGCUACAACGAAGAGAUAAUGUAGCCUAUGAGGAACGGCUCAUAGUAACGAAUGUGAAACUCCGUUUGCUACAACGAAGAGAUAAUGUAGCCUAUGAGGUACGGCUCAUAGUAACAAUAAUGAAAUAGUUACCGUUCGCCACAACGAAGAGAAAUGUGGUAUAUCUCCGUUCACCACAACGAAGAGAAAUGUGGUAUAUCACCGUUCGCCACAACGAAGAGAAAUGUGGUAUAUCACCGUUCGCCACAACGAAGAGAAAUGUGGUAUAUCUCCGUUCGCCACAACGAAGAGAAAUGUGGUAUAUCACCGUUCGCCACAACGAAGAGAAAUUGUGGUUUAUGUACAAAUAGUGAAAAGAGAUCAAUGAUAUUAGUCAAGUUGAAAUGGUUAUUUUUAUAUAUUUAUUUGAAGAUGGGGUUGUAGAAUUUUAUGUAUGACUAACAGUUGAAUCAUGCUAAGAAUUUUUGUGGAAUAGUAUUGACUUUGAUAUUGGAAGUAUUCUUUUUUUUAGCAUGAAUGAGUUUUCAAAUGAUGAAACUUUUAGUUUAAAAAUUGUUUGGGUAAAGACCGUCACUUACCCAUACCCAUUAUUUUUACUUUGUUUGUCAUGCUCCCAUUGAAUUCUUGUGACUCACCAUUUCUUUGGUUUCAUUUUUUGAAUUCAAAGAUUGCAAAAGAUUAAUCUCAUGGAGUUUUCAGGUUUACCAAAAACAUAUAUUCUUUGUGGUAGAUCUCUGUCUUGACCAUUUUUUUGUGAUUUACUUAUGAUGUAACUAUUGAGAUAAUAAUGAGAUUAAUAAUGAGAUAUACUUUGUGAUAAUAAACUUGUAUCUUUAAAUGUCGUGAAAGCUUAUGAGUCAUUACCAAAAUUUUAGUAUUUUAGAAAGGUGUAAGUGUUAUAGUUUAUUAGGCUUGCCAGGCUAAAUAUAUCAUGAGUUAGUGUUAGCCUGUGCGCCGGUCAUGACCUGAAAUUGGGUCGUGACAUAUACUCUUGUGGUGUAAUCAAAGUUUACAUAUUGGUGAUUUGUAAAUUGCAGCAUCUUCUACGCAAUAUUACAAGUGUUUUGGCUUCACAGAUAGCAAAAUCAUCAAUACAGCUAUCCCUACAAGGACUCUUAGCACAUAACCAUUUGAAGAUCAGGUCCAAUAUUUGUACUCUGUCACUCACCUUAUAUACAAACAACCCUCUUUUCUUCCUCCUCUCGUCCGGCACAGAACUCAUAUUUUCAACAUUUUUGCUAGAUGUAGCAUGCUUUCGGAAAAAUGAUGGAUUAUGCUCCAUCAAUUUUAUGAUGGACAAGAUUUGUCCAUGACAGCUGUACAACUUAAUAUUUUUACUAUAUAGAGGUAUAUAUCAUUAAAUUCUUGAGAGUCAUGCUUCAUUCCAUCAUAUGUAUUCUAGCCUUGCAAGCUUGUGACAGUGACACUGUUAUUCGAGUCGUUAUUUUGUUGACCUGAGUCUGCUCUAUGCUCAGUCUGACUUAGAAGGAAUGCAGGUUGAGAUGGAUGAGGAAGUUUAACAAUCUCACUAUUAAGCAUUGAAACAACUGUGGCCAUAGUAGGUCUCUCCUUUGCAAUUUCUUGCACACAAAGAAGUCCAAUGUGUAUGCAUCUCAAAAUGUUACCCACAUAAUCAGCAUUACAUAUUUCUUGAUCUAUCAAAGCUACAACCUCAUCUUCAUUCCAUAGUUUCCA